AACAAUAAAGAUAAUCAAUGAUAAUGAUAAUUGAAGUGGGUCAUAUAUAAUAGGCGGAAAACAUGGUGAAAUCUAGGGUUAAGAUUAAAAAAGAUGAUGGAAGGGAAGAUGAAGGUGAAGAUGAAGAACAACAAUCAGAUUAGCGAGAAGAACAGGCAUCAAAAUUCUGGAUGGAGAAGUUCCAGUUUUCCAGACUGCAACAGCAGAAAUGAUAAGACCACCUGCUAAGAAGGCCAGUAAUCUGUCCUCAAUGCUGUGUGGAGGUGGCUGUUCAGAACAGUAUUUACCGCAUAGGGUUGCAAUGCAAUUCGGAACCGACGAAGAUCUUUCAGGGUUGUGUUGGUCAGUGCUCUAAUUAACAGACCUGAGAUUGCAGAGAGCUUAAAGCUUUUGUUGAAGAGCUUGAGCAGAUGAUCACACGAAUAAAAGCAGCAAGAUUAAAACAAAAAUUGUUAACCUAGCUAGCCUUCUUCGUGAGAAAGAUUUGCUUGAUUUUAUUUUAAUUGAAUUCAUGGCUUCUCUUCUCCUGUUGGCAUUGCAGCAGGUUCCUAUAUGGAUAACUCCCGCCAUUGACAACAGAUGCAGAACAAGGUUAAAAGGAUAAUAGAAAUAAAACUUGAAUUAACUUAAUAGGUUAACUAGUGACUCAAAUGACUUCAAACUUGAAUUAAUCUUGUAUUAAUUAAUCUAGGUUAAGAAAAAAUAAAAAUAACUUGACAUCAUAUUUAGUACAUGUUUGGUAUUGUGAUAUAAAAUGUUUUUUUUUGUAAAUGUCUUUUGUUUACAAAUACAUCAAAAUAAUUUUUUAAAAGAUUUUUUUAUUUUUAUAAUAGUACAUCAAAAUUAUCAGAAAAACACUAAAAAUAUAUCAAUUUGAUGUUUUUAAAUAUAAACACAUAUUUAAAAAAUACCUAAAAACAAAAACUACCGCAUUUCCAUCCGAGCUAUUUAAAAAGCAAAGAGGGAACUUUUGAGAUGAAUAAAAUCAAGAAUUGCAAUUGCUAAAUUUUUUAAUGUGUUUUUGACGUGGAACACAUAAUAAAAGUAUUAUCUAAAAAUAAAUCAAGUGUAUCAAAUGACAUUUAUAACAAAAUCAGACCAUGACUUUUAAUUCAAUAAUUAAAUUUUAAUAAAAAAAACUUCUAUAACAUUUUAAAGGACUUAUUCUUUAUAGAAACAUCGACAAAACAUCAUUAAUGUUUGAUGUAUAGAGGUAUCAACUAUAACUUGAUGUCUUAUGAUGUAGAAAUAAAUAUCUUCUAGGGCACUAUAAAAGUUUUAAAGGUAGCAUAAAGAACCAUAAUAUAGAUAUUUGAUUAGCAAGAGAAUUCCAUAGCAAACUUAAUUGAGGGGAUGGAUCAACUACUAGGAGGAGGCAAAUAAAAAACUUGGAGAAGAGAGAGACGUGUUUAAAAACUUACCUCAAGGUGAACCAAACCCUAGAUCUAUUUCUACAAACUCAUAAAGACAUCAUGUCUAUUUAGAAAGUGAUUUGUACGAUGAACUAAAAACUUUGUCUAUAGCUAAACUUUCAUAGACACUUUUCUAAUUUUGAUGAAAUUCCUUUUGUUGAUAAGAAUUUUUCAAAAAAAAAAAAAAAAGGUUUUUUAGAUUAUUGUCAAAGUUAAAAGCUUACUUUUAUUUGAACAAGAUUUUUUAUUAUCAAAAUAAGGAUUUUCCAUACAUAAAUUUACUUAUUAAGUUGAAGGUUGGUGGUUCAAUCUUGUGGUUGAUGGAGCUUGUAUUGAUAAAUUUGUAAUUUCAUCAUAAAAAACUAUAAAAUAUAUUAAUUUUAGAGUUUGUACAAGAUGAAUAAAAAAAUAUUUUAUUUUGGUCAUAUAAUCACAAUCAAGUUAUUAUUACUUACCUUAUGUUCAACUUUCAACAAUAACACAAAAACAAAACAUGGAGGAGAACUAGCUUAAGGCUAAAAUUAUUUGAGUCAAUAAUAAGAAAUAGUUGAAAAACAAUUCAAUUUCUAUCUUGAACAUACUUAUUGUUCUUACUUUAUUGAUCAAUGUUGUUGGUAAUAGUGAAUUAAUUAUUUUAGCUAUAGUUUAUUUUUAAAGAAGUAGAAUAACCAAAAUUAUCACCAUCCUUGAGGAACAACAUGAAAGCAUAAAUAUAUUGAAAAACCAAAGUAACAUGAAGUAGAGGUAACAUUUCAAAGAACAAUAUGAAGAUAAAGAAUAUGUUGAAAUUAAACCAAUGAAUGAAAAGGUAGAAAAGUUACUAAUUUACUCAGGAAAUUAGAGUUAAAAUUAAAAAAAAAGAAAGAUAGAAAAAUAUUAUCUUCCUCCUGAAAUCACAAGAAAGUUUUGUCUAAAGGAUAAAAAGAAAGAGACUCAAAAAAUUUACUUUGUUAGCAUUUUAGUAAAUGAGGUUCAAUUUAUGAACAUGUUAAUUAUAAUGCUAAGUAUUUUAUGUUUUUUUUGGAAUGAAAGAUUUCAAUUUCUAAUUAUGAAACUAACAAACGAGUUCUUCUCAAGUAAAGAAGCUUGACACGAGAUGUGCAACAAAAGUCUUAACUUAAGAAGAAGUUUGGAUGUGUUAAAUGAUAUUUUUGACAAAAAAAAAUAGUUAUAAUUUUUUAUUCAAUUGUUGAAUCAAAUUAAAAUUUUAGAGAAUGUUCUAAGGCCUUGUUUCAUAAUAGGAAUAUCAAAGCAACAUCAUCCAAGUUUAGGAACAUGCCCACAUUAGAUAAAAAAAAAUAAAAAAAUGACAGGAGAUUUUUUUUAUUUUCCUAGUUGUUUUAGGAUUUUUUUUUUUAUGUAAAGUUUUAGAAUAUUAUUUGAUUCAUAUUUCUAUACCUAAGUUGGUGUUAUCUCUUGUUUAAACAUGUUAAAUAAUCCAAAUAUAUAAAGAAAAAUACAAAAAUAAGAGAGGAAAAGACUAAUAUUUCAUUGAUAUUUUAUAAUCACUAUAAUUUAAAGGAAUAAGUUUGAUUUAAAUACAAAAAAAUUAUAUAUAAACUAAAUUAAACUGAAAAGAAAAUAUUAUUUUACUUUCAAUAAAUAAAACAAAAUAACUUAUAUUUCUUAACAAAACAGUGGAAUUUUUCAUUAAAGAGGAUAUUGAUUAUUAAAAAAUUUAUUUAGAACUUUUAAGUUUUAGAGUUUUCUUUAUAAUUCAGAGAUAUAAUUUUAGGACUUGAAAAAAUUUAGUUUCUUUUUUAUAAAUAGUUUAUGGAUGUAAUUUUUAAUACUUGAGAAACAUUCUUCUCGAGAAGAAAAAAAGGAGAUAAAAAGUUAAGGGAUUGGACUGAUUGUGUUCUGGUGCUGAAGUCUAGAGUUUGGAGGUUCUGGGGAAAGGGUUUUGCUAAGGUUCAAGAGGAAAUGGGCAAAGCAAGGACAAAAGUGAGCAGAGUGCAUGCAGCUGGGAAUCGUGAAAAGGCACAACUUUCCUGGCACACCGGAAAAUCAAUAAUAAAUUAAUACAGGUUAGCUGCUAUCAAUUUGCGAAAUGCUCUUAGUAAUUUGAAACCUUUUUAUUGCAAAAUCGUCCUUGGCCCACAGGAAAUGUAUUUCAGUUUAGUGGUUUCUUGGUGAUUGAAGUGGUAACAAGAAGAAGCAACCGCCGACAACAAGAACACUGCUGCUGCCCUCCACUUUCCUUUUUCCCGCGAAUCCCUUUCGCUGUAUGUAGUGAACUGUUCACAAAGCUUGGACAGGGAGGCACUUGAGAAGCAACAAUGCUACAUGCCUAAUAGCUACUAGGUAAAGGAUGCUCUUACAGACGCCAUUUGAAGAAAAAAAAAGUUAAAGUUUUUUUAAAAACAAUCUCGUAAUCUUUUCAAAAGUUUACCCCUAACUGUGUUUCUUAUUGUAUUUAAGAUAAGAUUUGAUUAAGAAAUCCAUUGAAUUUCAGGCUAAAAGGCUAGAGAAUAGGAGUAUCCUUUUCUCUCUAAUCCUUUAUCCUUUGUGUGAUUGGAAAUGGAUCUGUACUAAUUAGUACCUUGCUAGAACUGACUUCACAGUGUAAACAUCAAGCUCCCAUCUUUUCUGUUCUUUCCAAACAAGAUCAUGACCUUGUGAACCAAAAACAGCAAAAGAGUCUGCCUAAUAUUUCCAAUUUCACAAUUUAAUGGGUCCAGUGACCUCACAGGAUCCUUCUAGCCUUUUCCACGAAUAAAAUUCUAACAAGCCUAUGCGAUUGCUUGUUGUUUGUUAACUGAUCCUAUAUCCACUGAUAAUGGCUAAGCAAGCAAAGAUUUUCACUAUCAGUUUGCUUCAUUCACACAGAAACUCAGCUAAGAACUGACUGAAACAUGAACCAUUGCACAAUGCUGGUACACUUUACAUGUAUCAUUACAGACAUACCAGCUACAAAACAUACAAUUAUAUCUGCAAAGAGACAGGUUGGCUCCUAACAAUUUUUGCUACUUAGUUCGUGCAAAAAGUAACUAAAACAUAAGCCAAAAGAGCUGUAGAACUCUAUAUAUCUACCUCACUCAGCAUGUUAAUUCUAUUUGUAUUAACUACAUUGUGAUAUUGUUGGUCAGACAAACCUUCUUCUGGCUAAAUUUAGCAGCCUUUAGCCCAUCAAUUUCUUUCCUAAGCUUGUCGAUCCGAGCUUCAAGUUCUAAUCCAUCUGUGUGAAUAUCAAAACGACUCCUACUUCCUCUUUCAUCAUCUUUGAGAAAACCUGCACCAUGGAGUACUGGACUAGGGCUAUCUAAUUUGUUUUUGCUGGAGUUUUCCGUGGUUGUGCUUUCUUUUCCACUCCUAGGUUCCUUCUGAAUGCUGCUUUCCUUCAAUUUCAUCUCUGCAUCAACAUUUGUAACAUCAUUGUUUUCUGCAGCAGAAGAUAAUAGAUUAUGUGUAGUAGCCGGCAAAGACUUGCGAUCACCAUAUAUUAUAUGAUCAACACUUUUGAGCUUUUUAUGAGUAAACAACUCCUUCAAUGUUAGAUCAUCCUCCUCAUCAGAGUCCAAGCCUUCAACAUGUUGACAUUUAGGAGGGUAACCAGGAGGAUACAGAGGAUCAUGAUCUGACUUCUUCCCUUUGAAACAUGGAACCGAAAUUUCUGAACCUUUUGGAUUUCCACUUCCAUCUUUCCCACCAAACACUGAUUGCUUCCACCAUUCCAAGUAUCUCAUAGUAACAUCUGGCUUGCAAUGUCUUGAUGGAAUAUAUAGCAUUGCAUUUUUUAUUUGCUUAUCAAAACGCCUCCAGGAAAGUUCUUGAGUUUCAUUUCUUCUCUUUACAGGACCUGGAAGAUCUUGAUCCAUGCCAAACUGCAUUGCCACUCGAUGCGGGCUGUACUGUUCUACACACCCUAUUCCAACUAAUUGACAUGCUCUCAAGCAUCGAGUAAAGGAUUUCAAUUCGUCAUCAGCAUCAACAUCAACAAGCACCCAUUUCUCUUCAUCACCAUAAAUUUUGUAGCACAAACUCUCCACGGCUGUGGCAUAAGGGCGCCACUGGAAACUUCCUUCAGAAUCUAGGGCCAAUCUUACAUUCCUAACGGUUGAACUAUUCACAUUAUGCCAUCUAGCUAAUCUCGGCACUUCCAAGUCAGUCACAUUAGGCUUUGGUUGCAAUUUUGGAAACCUCUCCCAGGCCCAAACCUGAACUAUAUGAAAUGGUGACCAAAUGGUGAGUUCUAACUUUUGAUCAUCAUUGUCAUCCUCAAAAGAAACUAAAUUGGACAAAGCUAGAAUCUUUUUCUUCAACAACCUCAAGUCUCGGUAAAUGCUUGCAAGAAGGGCAGGUCCAAGUGCAAUUUUGAUACCUCUAGCUAGACAAACAGCAAUUGGAAAAACAUGUUUGGGAAUGCUCAUAUUUGGGACACUGGGAAAAACAAACCUCGACAACCAUAGUGACAGAAAAGCCUCGUGCUCGACUUCGCUGUUGUUUUCCAUGAGAUAUUUAAUCCAGGAAGAAUGGUCAACUUUUUUGCUUUUUGACCGCCUCAACAGUUCUCGGAUUUCCAUUAGCUUUUGUUCAGCUUCAUGCAAUUCCUCUGUUUCAAGAGGGGUAAAAACAGGGGACCCCAAAACAGAGUACCCUGCAACCAAAAUAUCUUCCAAGGUGAUUGUUGCUUCACCCCAAGGAAAAAUGAAUGUGUUAGUUUCAAAACACCAUUUCUCUGCUAACCCAAUAAGGAAAUCAUCGUCUCUUCCGAUUUGGUAAAGAGAACUCAUGACUGCUUGAUAGAUUCCAACUUUUCUCCAUGUUGCUUCAUGCAAAGCAGCCAUUUUAUCAACCCAUUCUUUCCACCUCCUUUGUGCAUAUCUCCAACCAUGGAAUGUUAUUCUUAAAGGCCACUUUUUGGGUUCAAAGUUAGAGGGCAAGGAGAAGUUGUAGUGUGAAGGGUGUUUGGGAGUGUUUUCAUCUAUGGAAGAGGUUAUUGAGGGUUUGAUAAAAUGGGCUGUUCUAAGUGUUGGCUGUGCAUCGCCAGAGAGUGAAACCAUAAGUUCCUUUCUCGUUUCAACAAUGGGUCCUUCUGAUUUCUCCAUAGAAAAAAACGGUGAAGUUUCUUGCAGAGAAAGAGAAGGAGAGGUUCGGGCUUAGGGAGAGCCAAAGGUUGCUGACAUGAUUGUUUCGAACUAGCAAAGGAAGUUAAUGUGACGAUACAAUUUCAAGUAUUCAAAGCUUCCUCUAGAAUCUAUACCUUCACUACAUCUCUUCCAAAUAAUGUGUUAAAAAGAAUAAAAAUAAAGGCAGUAGAAAUGUCGAUAUAAAGUCAUGGCUCAUGAUUGCAUAAGGGAAUUAAUUUAAUUUUUGGAUGCGUAAGAAGUGGGGAGAGAACUUUAGAAAAUGGAUAAAAAGAGAUUCUGUUUAUUUUUUCUUUUUAAAAGUUUUUUUUAAAUAAUAUUUUUUAUUUUAAAUAAAAUUUUUAAAUAUUUUUACAUCGUUUCGAAGAAAAAAAGAGAAACAUUCAUUGGGAAGAAAAUAAAAGGAGCUAAAAAGUUUAGGGCUUGGACUCUGUGUUUCGGUGCGAAAGUCAAAGUUUGAGGUUUUUGUGGCAAGGGUUUGGACUGAAGAAAGCAAGGGUGGAAGCAGCUGGUAAUCGUGAAAAGGCAUAACUUUUCUGGCACACCGGAAAAUCAAUAAUAAAUUAAUACAGGUUAGCCCAUUUAUUUGACGUUUGAAGUAAUUUGAAACCUUUUUAUUGCAAAAUCGUCCUUCGCCCAUGGUGUGUACGCCGUUUUUAAAAUUGCAUUUGAGAGUGUUUUAAUUUGAAAAAGUGUUAUGUUAUUGUUUGGAGUUGAGUUUCAACUUGUUUUUAUUGAAGUUUGAAUUUUUUUUAUUUUAAAUUAAUUUUUUAAUAUUUUUUAAUUGUUUUCAAAUAUUGAUGUUAAAAAAAAUUUUAUUUUAAUAUAUUUUUAAAUAAAAAUUACUUAAAAAAACAACCACAAUCACAUUUUUAAAUACCUUCUAAGUGCCUGUUUGAGAAUGUUUCAAUCUGUGUUAUGAGAUUGUUUCAAUAUGUGUUAAAGUGUGUUUCAAAAAUAUAUUUGUCUUAAAAAAUAUUAAAAUUGAUAUUUUUUAAUUGAUAUUUUUUUAAUACUUUUCAAUAAUUUUGAUAUGUUGAUAUUAAAAAUAAAUAUAAAUCUAAAUUGAUAUUUUCAAUGUUUUCUGAUAAUUUUGAUAUAUUAAUAUAAAAAAUGAAAAAAUUAUUUUUAUUUAUUUCUAAAUAAAAAAAACUUUUGAAAAAUAAAUGCACCAUAAUAUCUUAUGUAUACUAAAUUGAUGUUUUUAAAAAUAUUUUUUAAUAAUUUUAAAAUACUGAUAUUAAAAAUAAAAAAAGUUAUUUUAUUAUAUUUGAAAAAAACUCCUAAAAAAUACAGGACAAAAACAUAAAAAUGGAUAGCAGCUUUGUUACAGAAAAUACUGCUCAUCCUUGCAGCACGUACAGUGUAGGAAACAACCAUUUUUCUGAUCCUUACACUGCAGAAGUAAAUAAAAACUUCAGACACUCUCUCCAUAGUUGUUGUCUUUAUUCCUUUUAACAUUUCAGUGUCUAUCAAUUUCUCGAUUCCUAGAACAAAACCUAGCUCUUUGCCUUUCCUUUGUGGAAAACGCCUUGAAGAGUUUCUGCAAUAAUUGGUUUCCUUCAUUCUCCCAGGAAACAAACAAACUUUGGGAUUCUUAUCAAUACAUAAUAGGUCCACUCACCAUUGUGAAAACCUCUUGAAACCCAUGAAUGGAAGAGGUGAAAGAAACCAUGCUCGAUGUUAGAGAAGAGCAAAUGGUGUCGUUCACUGGUGGCAGCAAACCAACUCUAAGAACAGCCCAUUUCCUCAAACCUACUGUGGCCACCAGUACAAGGUCAGUCCCCAAGCCCCCUACAUGUUCUCUAUCUUCUCUACCUUCAACUUUUGAGCCUAAAGAAUGGCCUCUGAAGAUAAACUUCAGUGGUUGGCAGAAGCCUAAACUGAACUGGGCAACAUGGGUUCAUAAGUUGAAAUUCAAGUAUCAGCCUUUAUGGAAGAAGGCUGGAAUUUAUGAAGCCAUCAUGCAUUCUACAUUCAUUGUUGUAAGAGACUAUGAUUUUAUCAUUGGACUUGCAGAGAAAUGGUGUCCUAAAACCAACACAUUUGUAUUUCCUUGGGGAGAAGCAACCAUCACCUUAGAGGACAUGAUCAUUUUGGGAGGGUACUCUGUUUUAGGCUCCCCCGUUUCUUCAUGCUCUGAUUAUGAAAGCAGAGAAUUGAAGGAAAUUGAAGAUAAACUAGCUGAAGCUGGGAGGAAUAUCAGCAGGGGUAAGGUUAUUAAGCCUUGCCAAUCUAAAUGGAUGGAGAAGUUCAUGGACAGCGGGAGUGAAAUCGAGCACGAAGCUUUUCUUUCACUUUGGCUGGCAAGGUAUGUUUUUCGAGAUUCUGAUAUUGUACUCAAGGGCCAUUUUUUUCCAAUAGCAAUUCAAAUGGCAAGAGGGGAACGUAUUGCACUUGCUCCAGCAGUUCUGGCUAGCAUUUAUAGAGACCUGAGUUUGUUGAAAGAAACAAUUGUUUUUACCACCAAGUUAGAGACUUUUGAGGAUGGUGUAUUGGCACUAACAAUUCGGUCACCGUUUCUGUUAGUCCAGAUUUGGGGUUGGGAGAGGUUUCCGAUGUUCCAACCGAAGCCCGUUUUCCUCAAGAAUGGUGAUCCCAGAUGUGCUUUAUGGGAUAGUGUGAAAGGUGUCAAAGUUGAGAAUGCAAGGCUGGCUUUGGAUUCAGCCGGGGAGGCUUUUCGAUGGCGGCCUUAUGCAAACCCAGGAGUAAGAGGUUGGCACUUCCCGGAGUUUUACAGAGAGAAAGGAGAAUGGCUAGACCUGGGAUCUAAUGAAGAUUUGUUGUCAUUUUCCCUAUGCUUGACAGUAUCCAAGAUGGAUGGUCUAGGCUGUUCAGAACUGUAUCUUCCUCAUCGUGCGGCAAUGCAAUUCGGAAUGGAUCAAGAUGUUCCUUCUCCUGUAGCUCGAUCAAAUGAAAGCUGCAAAUGUGCUUCGAAAAAUUACAUUAAGUCAUUUUCCAAUUCCAAAUUCUAUUUUCCACCUCGGUUAUUCGAGUCUGAUGUUACCAUUAGAUACUUGAACUGGUGGAGAGGGUCGGUGCAAGAGGUGACUAAGGAUGUGACUGAAGGUGUUGUGCGAAGGAAACGAAGUUUCCGAAAGAGAUCAAAUCGAGUUCCAUGGGUUUCAACAAAGAAUGAAGGCAAUGAUUUAGAUGUCCCCCCUGGUUUUCCUCCCAAAUCUGGCAGGAUGAAAGAAGGGGAUGUGGCUGAGAAUGAAAAAACAACUUUGGAGGAUAUAUUAAGAGACUGUAGCCUUCAUAACAGUUUAGACAGAAGGGAAGGUACAUCUGUUUAUACUUAUGGUCUCGCUCACAGUCCUUCAAUUGUAAAAACAGGCGGUGCAGGUUUUCGAAAGAUCGAGGCGCUAACACAACCAGAAGGAAAAACCACGCAGGUUAAAGCUGGAAAGGAUGGUUUGCAAAAAGCCUCAGAAGACGCAGAUGUGUUCAUAGCUGAGACUUCUGCUAACAUGGCGAGCACCAGCAAAGAUGCAGAAGAAAGCAACGGCUCUGUCUUUCAGAUCCCAGUAAAUGAACUUGAUGCUCGGGUUGCUAGGCUUGAGAUGGUAAUGGCCAAGAUAAAAGCAGCAAGAUCAUGUUUGUCAAAAACCCCACAGAAGAAUCUGCUCCCCUGAUGAACUAAGCAGUAUGAUUUCAUUUAAGUGCAUGUUUCCUUUGAUGCUUGCUAGGCUCGUAACAAUUGUAAUCCUUAAAUAGGUCUACAUUUCUGUGUAAAUUGCUUGCUUGAAUUACAAACCUUCUCUGGAUGUAUUACCCAGCCUCGAGUGUAAUCAGUGAAAAGUAAAAUCAUGGAAUAUUUUCAGUAUAAAGUGUAAACAGGAUGAUUUUAUGGAAACACAUGAUAGGCACGUUUCGGUAAGAUAGCUAGAUAUUAAAAAAUUAUUAAUUUAAUAUAUUUUCAAAAUAAAUAUUUAAUCUGGCCUUAUAUAUAUAUAUAUAUAUAUAUCAUGUUGUGAUUAGCAUGUGACUAUUUGUUUUUUAAUUAAGUAUUGUUAUGUGUUAGGGACUUGGUAUUGACAAAACAAGGGGCUAGAUAAAGAUAUAUAUCUUUUUAAAUUAACACGGUUUUUUAAAACACUUGAAAAAAAUAAUAUGUUUUGAAAAAUAAUUAGCAAAAAUAAUAUAAUUCGAUACAUGUCGUAAUUGAAAAUUGCCAUAUUUUAAAGUUAUCACUCAAAUAAAAUGUGACAUUUCAAACAAAUUGUUAAAUGGCUUCAUAAAUUACAAUAAAAAAAAAUGAAAGAGAAAAAUAAAGACUUUGAAACACAUCAAAAUUAUGAUUACAAUACCACCAGUAUUAUUAGAAAAAACUCAACAAAAAAAAUUCAAUGACACUAAGAAAAAUCACCAAUGAUGCAAGUGAGCAAUUAUAAUGAGAAAACAAGAUAAAUAAAAAUAAAGAAAGAAAAAAAGAAAAAGACAUGGAGGUACACCGAAACCAUGAUUAUGACACCGUUGGUACCAUUAAAAAGAUUUUGAUUACAAGAAUCUAACAAUACUGAAAAAGGUCACAAAUGGUGAUUAGAAUGGGUCGCACAUAGUGGGUGGCUUACUUGUCUUUGAACGGAAAAUGUGACUCACUUUGGUCAUCUUUGGUGACUCACUCCGGUUAUCUUUGGUAAUAUUUCUUGGUGUUUUUGAAUUCUUCUCAUCAAGAUUUUUUUGAUGGAUCUUGUGUUAUAAUUAAAGCUUUGAUAUGUCUUUAUGAUCAUUUUUUUUUUCUCUGCUCAUUGUAAUUUGUGCAAUUCAUUCAACAAUUUCUUUUUGAAAAUGCUGCAUUUCUGAUCAUAGAUGACUUUAAAUGUCACUUUUUUCGAUCAAGACAUAUAUCAACCAUGUUAUUUUUUAAUUUCUUUUUUCAAGUUGUGUUAUUUUACUAAUUUUUUUUAAAAAAUAUGUUGUGUUUUCCAAUUAUAACAUGUAUUAACUGUGAUAUUUUAUAUAAAAAAAUUCAAACUAUUUUAUUUUACUAUUUAAAAAAAUACUCGUGCUAAUAAGAAAAUUAUGUUAGAUAAAGGGACUUAGUGAGUAUUAGCUUUUGUUUUGCAUUGCAAAAUAUUUUUCAAAGUAUUUUUAAAUUUGUUUUCCUUAAAAAAGAUUAAAUUAAUUUUUUAAAAAAAUGUUUUUAGAUAAUUUUGAUAUGUUGAUAUUUAAAAUAAAUUAAAAAAAAUCUAUGAUAAAUUAUUUUGAUAUAUUUUAAAUUAAAAAACAUUUUUAAAAAACAUUUUACAUCCCAAUACUUUACAAACACUUAAUUUAUAAGGUAAUUAAUGUUCGCACCCGCACAAUUCUCUUUGUGGAGUGAUAAAAUCUAUUAUACUAAAUUAUAUAUCUCUUAAAUUGUAUGUAAAGUAACGAAUACAGUUACUGAGUUACAAAAUGGUUUUCUCAAUAUUAUAUUAACAAGUCCCAUGUUUCAGUUACGAAGCAUAUCUACCCAUUUCUGGUGCUUCUCUUCUAUAAUUAACUUUUUUCAAGGAAAACAUGGUGAAAUCUAGGGUUAAGAAUAAAAAAAGAAGAUGGAAGGGAAGAUGAAGUACAACAAUCAGAUUAGCGAGAAGAGCAAGCAUCAAAAUUCUGGAUGGAGAAUUAUCGUAUUGUAAUGAGAAGUUCCAGUUUUCCAGACUGCAGCUGUAGAAAUGACAAGGACACCUGCUAAGAAGGCCAGUAAUCUGUAGUGAAUGAGGAAAUUCAUGGAUAGUGGCAGCGAGAUUUAGCAUGAAGCGUUUCAAGGUAUAUUCUCCCAUAUACUUAUGAUUCCAUCAGGAAGCUUGUUUUCUCUAUUGUAAUUCAUGUCGCUAGAGGCAAUAGAAUUGCACUUGCACCUGCACCUGCUGUUCUUGCCUGCAUUUACAGAGAUAUAUAUGACGUUGUUGAAAGGGAAAUCGCAGAGUCAACCUUGUUGGGGAUUCCAAAGGGAAAACAUGAUGGUUUAACAGUUAAGCUUUGGUCAUCAACGCAAUCAGUUCAGGUUUGGGUUUGGAAGAGGUUCAAUGAACUGCAGCCGAAGCCUAAUCUGAUGAAGAGUGGGUGCCCUAGGUUGGCUCAGUACUGGGACAAAUUGAAACAGAAAGUUGAGAGUGUUUCGUUGGUUUUAAUCUUUGAGGAUUUCAAUGCAAUUCGGAAGUGAUGAAGAUCUCUCAGGUUGCAUGGGCUGCUGCUGACUGCAGAUGACAUUUAUUCCCACUUGACGUGUGAUGACCCAACACGCAGUCUACGCGGCGCUGUUUGUUCAGCCGAACCAAAACCUGAACUGAAAUAUAAAUAUAUUUUUUUAAUUUUUUAAUAUAUAUAUAUAUAUAUAUAUAAAAAGAAAUUAAUUUGAAGGAAAUAUUUUUUUUAUAAAUACUUUUAAAUUGUAAGUAAAAACAAAUGCUCUAAAAAUAAUUGGGGUCAUUGUAAACAAAUAAUGUUGUUUGAUUUUUAUAUUUUUUAAAUAUUUUUAUUUUGUAAUAUUGAAAAAUAUAUUAAUGCAUUCGAGUUUUGCAGUGUAAUCCAUUAAAUACACAACUUGAUCAUUAACUUCAUUUAUUCAACCUUCUUCUGUUUGCUCUCCUAUUGAAGCGAAAUGAAAAGCAAGAAGCUACUGGAUUUAGGGUUUGUUUGGGAAUGCAAUUAAAACUAUGUUUUUUAUAUAAAAAAAAAUUCAUUUUUUUAAAUUAUUUUCAUGUUCUGAUAUAAAAAAUAAUUUUUAAAAAAUAAAAAAUAUUAUUUUAAUAUAUUGUUAAGCAAAAAAUACUUUAAACAACAAUUGCUACCAGACUCCCAAACAUAUCUAUUGAUUACAACAAACAUACAAUCAAAGCUUUUCAUUUUGUUAAAUAUUUCUAUGCACUACAAUGUAUUCAUGUUUUCAAGAAAUAUAUAUAUACAAAAGGAAGUAAGAAAACCUCGUCUACUUAAACUCCUAUUCUAGGUAAGAUAAUAAUCUGUACAAAUAGAUUUCAUUACAAUCUUGGAAUCCAUACAUAUCUUACCAGCUAAUACACAAUCUUGUUAGCUAACACUCUCCCGCAAAUUGGUGCAUAGAUGUCUAUCAUGCCUAACUUGCCAAUCAUACUAUAAAAAUCCUUGUUUGAUACUGCCUUAGUGAGGAUAUCAAUUAUAUGACUUGUAGAUUUAACAAACAGAAAACAUAUAAUUUUUUUAUAUCUAACUUCUCUUUGAUAAAAUGACGGUUUACUUCAACAUGUUUAGUUCGAUCAUGUUAAACAUGAUUGUGUGCAAAUCUGAAUUGCUACGUUAUUAUCACAUUACAAAUUGAUAGAAUCUAUAUACUUGAUCUCUAAAUCCUUCAAAACACUCUUGAUCCAUAACAACACAUAUAUUCCCUAAAUCAUUCCUUGAAAUUCUACUUCUACACUAUAUUUUGCUAUAACUUUCUAUUUUUUACUUCUCCAAGUAAUCAAAUUCCCUUCCAUAAAGGUCGAAUAACCAGACAUAAACCUCCUAGGUGUUUGAUUUCUUGCCCAGUCUGCAUCAAUAUAGCCUUUAAUAUUUGAGACACCAUUCUUCAAGUAUAAUUAACCUUUGUUAGGCGCACCUUCAAGAUACUUAAGAUCAUGUAGACUGCAUCCAUAUGCUUCUCAUUUGAUGCAUGCAUAAAUUGGCUCACGAUACCUAUAAUAUAUGUUAUAUCAAAUCUAGUAUGGGUUAGGUAAAUUAACUUAUCCAUAAGUCUUUGAUACCGACCCAUAUCUGUAGGGAGUUAAUCUGGAAAGAUCCCAAGUCGAUGAUUCGUUUGUAUUGGUGUUUCAAUAGGUUUGCAAGCUAGUAUCUCAAUCUCACUUAGAAGAUCCAAUAUGUAUUUAUGCUGUGAAAGGGAAAUUCCUUGUUUGGACCUUACUACUUCAAUGCUAAGAAAAUACCUUAGUUUUCCCAAAUCUUUCAUUUUGAAUUCUAUAGACAAGUACUCUCACAAUGUCCUCAUUUCUUUAGGAUCAUUACCUAUCAAAAUCAUGCCAUCUAUAUGCACAAUCAAUAUCGUUACCCUUCCAUCUUUAUGUUUUACAAAUAACGUAUGAUCUAUAUUGCUCUAUUGAUAACUAAUUGCUUUCAUUGCCAAAGUAAACCUCUCAAACCAUGCGCGAGGAGAUUGCUUUAAACCAUAUAGAGAUCUAUUUAGGUUGCACAUUCUGCCUUCGUGUUUGGAACUUUGUUUUAUUCCAAGCAGAGGUUCUAUGUACACCUCUUCUUCUAGAUCACCAUUCAAGAAAACAUUUUUUUAUGUUGAAUUGUUGUAGGGGCUAAUCUCAAUUUGCAGUAAUGGAUAUGAGAAUACAGAUGGUGGUGAGCUUGGCUAGUGGUGCAAAGGUCUCUUGGUAGUCGAUACCAUAUUUCUAGGCAUACCCUUUGGCCACGAGUCUCGCUUUAUAUCUAUCAAUGCUUCCAUCCGCUUUAAGUAUAACAAUGUAUACCCAUCUACACACAAUUGCAUUUUUUUUUGCUGAUAACACAACAAGUUCCUAAGUGUAGUUCUUCUACAACGCUUCCAUCUCUUCAUUCAUAGCCUUUUUUCACCUUGAAUCUGCCAAUAUAUCCUGCAAAUUAUUAGGAAUAGACACUUUGCAUAAUUGAUUAAUGAUUAGUGCAUAAGAUUCUAAAAGUCCAUGAAAAGAGACAUAGUUAUUGAUAGGAUAUUUAACAUUGGUUUUAAUGUCCAGCUUAUAUUGUUUCUUUGUAACACCUUUAUGAGGUCUUUGUGAAUACUUGGGAGUGGGUUGAGAUGUAUCCUUAGUGGUGGGAUUAUCUAGGAUAUUUUAAGCAGAAGACUCUCUAGUUGAUGGUACGAGUAAGUCACUCAUCGCAGUUUCUUCCUCACUGAGGUUCGUAGCUUUUGUGUCAUCAGCACACAAUUCAAUCAUCUCAGCUUCUUCCCCAUCAUGGUUUACAACUUCUGUGUCACCAACAUAAUCCCUACAAAGGUAAUUGUGCAAUGAUAAAUUCCUCUCGUUUGGAAUAGUUUAAGUACCAGUGAACAAAGUAGCAUUAUGCUUAUUACUACUCUCUUUUUUUUCAAAUGCCACUAGCUAUAUAAAAACACCACCUCACUUUUAUCAAAAAUAAUAUUGCAAAGCUUACCCUUUUCAUACACAUUCUCCCCCUGAAGAGGAGAGCCUAAAUCGUUUACUAAAUACUAAGGAUUCAUUUCACGAAAGGAGACAUCAAGAGAUACAUGUAACUCGUGAGUUUGAGGGUAAUAACAUCUGUACCCUUUCUGAAAAUCAGGGUAACUAAUAAAUACACAAUGUUGGGCAUAGGGAUCAAGCUUGCUACGCAAGACUUUGAGUAUGUGAACAUACAUUGUAUAACCAAAGGUUUUAGGUUCCAAGUUUGGUUGAUGGGGUAUGUAAAAGAAGGUUUGUAAUUUUUAGUAUAGGGUCUAGAAAUCAAUCACCCAGGAAGGCACUGUAUUGAUAAUGUAGACAACAGACUUGGCAGCCUCUUCGCAAUAGAAAGGAGGCAUAUUCAUUCCAAAAAAAAUGCACGUACCACCUCCAUGAUCUACCUAUUUUUCCUCUUCACAAAGCCAUUUUAUUGAGGUGUGUAGGUGUAAGAAGUAUGAUGUCUAAUUCCUUAUUGUCAAAGAUAAUCACCAAGCGAGUUCUCAAGAAAUUCCAUGGAAUUGUCAUAUUGCCAUACCUGAAUUUGUUUUUGAAAUUGAGUUUUCUCCAUGUUGUAAAAUUCCUAAAAAAUAGUACUAGCAUCACUUAUCUUAGGUAAUAAGGAUACUCACGUCAUACGAGUGCAUUCAUUAAUAAAGGUAAUAAAAUAACAAGUUUUAGCCAUAGAUGGGAUUACUGCAAAUCCCCAAAUAUCAAAGUGAAUAACCAGAAAGGGUUUAGAGCUUUUGUUGAAAGAAGGGAAGUAAGGUUUACAAUGGCUUUUUGUCAAUUCACAAAUGUCACAUUGAAAAUCCAAAAUAUGCAAUUCUAUAAACAAAUUAUGUUUUAAUUUCUGAAGCUAACUAAAGGAAAGAGGCCUUAGCCUCUUAAGCUAGAGCUACACCUUAGACAACUUCCUAUCACCUUUCGUCACAAAACAUGCCUUAAUGUACUGCCAUUUGUUAGUUGUUGUCAAUUUCAAGUAGUAGAGGUUGCCCCAUUAAUUUAACAUCACAACCAAGAGUCUUUUGGGUCAAAAUAUCCUGAAAAACACAAUAAAAAGACCAAAAAAGUAACAAUGUAAUUUAGUGCUAAAGUGAUUUGGCCUACAUAUAACAAAUUACAUUCAAGACUAUGAACAACCAAUAUUGUAUUAAGAGUUAUGGCAGUAGUUAGAGCAAUGGAGCCCUUUCUGGUAAUAAGGGAGAUAUCAUCAUUGACUAUAGAUAUGACUUGUUGGGAUGAUGAACGAAGAUUUUGUAAUUUACUAGAGUCUUUAAUCAAAUGAUCGUAUGCACCGGUAUCAAUAAUCCAAGUAUUAUCCAUAGUAAUAGCAGAAAGAACACUAGCCUUAACAAUAUUACCUGGCUGAGUUAAAUUAGUUAAAUUAACAGUAGGCAUGGAAGUCCCCUCCUAAAUUAGAUGGCUUUCACCUGAUUUCGCCAUUACAGUUUUUCUAGUAAUGUUCUUCCGUGAUUUUUUUCAAAAAUCCUACCAUUCAGGAUAUCCAAUAAGCUCAUAGCAACGCAGCUUUGAAUGACUAGAUUCACCACAGUGGAUACAAACAUAGUUAUUUGGCUUUCCUGAAUCUUGACUAUUUUUCCCUUUGGCAGAACUAGAAGCUAUUCCUCGCUGGUUUUGAUUAGCUAUCAUGGUUGUAUUUUCAAAGACCGGCCGAGAAACUCCAAUAACUUGUCAUUGUUGUGACUCUCUUCUCACACAUGCGUAGGCUGCUUCUAGGUCCAGUUUUGGUUCCUUUCAAAGAAUUUCCCCAUGGAUUUGAUCAUAUUUAGAAUCAAGACCGCUUAAAAAAAAUGUACUCACAAUCUAAUCAUCACCGCAUGAAGUUGUACAAUCCCUUCAAUAGAUUCUUCUUAGAAUGUGCUGCGAUGAUCGAUUUCCUGAAAGAUUGCAACAAGUUCAUUAUAAUACAUGGAUAAAGGCCUAACAUUCUGAGUGGUUAAAAAUGACUUUUGAUUCAGUUCGAACAAUUAUGUUUCAUCAGAUCCAUUGUAGAAGGUCCUUGACACUGCCUCAUAUAUUUUCCUUGCUAUAACAAGACGAAUGAAUCUCUGCAUUAGGUGGGGCCUCAUUGAUUCGAUGAGCCAACUCUUUACUUUAUGAUUUUUGAUAAUCCAUGUAUCAUAGUUCAGAUCAUUAGGUGCAAGUUUCACCGCUAUCACAGUUAGAUACCCAACCUUGUUGCGGUCCCAAUAUGCAUCUCUAUUAACUGCGACCAUAACAUAUAGUUGGUUUCAUUGAGAAUAAUAUUGACAGGAGAGCCGGAGGUUUCUUGUUGAACGAUAAUUGGGUUUGACAAAGGAUUGCGUGGAGUGGCUGGAACAAUUGGAUCUCGCUCUUGUUCUGCCAUUGUGAUUUUGUUUGUAGGAGGAAGUCCCUGGAAUACAAAGGUCAAGGGAGAAUGCAGGGAAGAAUAGUAAAAAAAAAAAAAAAGUUUUUCAAGCCUGAGCUCUGAUAUCAUGUUGAUUACGACAUUCAACCGAAGCUUUUCAUUCUGUAAAUAUUUCUGCGCACUACAAUGUAUUCAUCUUUUCAGGAAAUAUAUAUAUAAAGGAAGUAAAACGUCCUAGUAUGCCUAAACUCCUAUUCAGGGUAAGACUAUCUGUACAAGGAAACAACUACAAUCUUGGAAUCCAUACGUCUCGACAGCUAAUACACAAUCUUGCCAGCUACCACUAUCAAAAUGGUAGACCCGUGAUAUUUGCUGGAGAGAAACAAUGAGGCCCUUCUUGGCUCUCUCCAAUCUAUGCCCUUCUUGGCUCUCUCCAAAAUGGCGCCGUUUGUUCAGCCGAACCAAAAGCUGAAGUUAAUUAUAAAUAAUAUUUUUUUUAUUUUUUAAAAUAUAAAUAUAAAUAUUCAACUUUUGCAGCUUAACCCCGUUAAAUACGCAACCUUAUCAUUAAAUUCAUUUAUUCAACCUUCUUACAUUUGCUGUCCAUGUGCUCUCCUGUUGAAGCGGAAUGAAAACCUAAAAGCUCCAAAAUUUAAGGGGUUGUGUUUGAAAAUAUAAUUAAAUCAUGUUUUUUAAAAGUUUUAAAAAUUAUUUUUUAUAUAUAUUUUCAGAUUGUUUUGAUAUUAAUAUCAAAAAUAAUUUUUUAAAAUAAAAAACACUUUAAACAUCAAAAUUUUAAACUCCCAUACAUGUCAAAAUGGUAGACCCAUAAUAUUUGCUGGAGAGAAACAAUGAGGACAUUCUUUGCUCUCCCCAAUCUAUGCCCGAAGGUCGAUGUGCAUGUGAUGUGUCUUCCCACCAUGUGAUGUGUCCUUAAUAAUUUGAUUAAUUGCUGUUAAUCUUUGAUGUCUUUAUUCACGAUUUUUCCACAAUAAGAUACUGUGUCGAUGGUCCUGCCAUGUUCUAAUUUAAUAGCAUAUAAAAAUAAAAAUCAAUACUUGUAAAACUUAAAUACCAACUAGAGUGUUUAUUUAAGUAUUAUAAGUUUUUAUAAAAAAAAAACAAAAUAUGGCUAAUUAAUAUAAAAACCAAAUAAAUAUUGAAUAUUAAAAUUAAAAAAAAAAAAAAAAAAUUGAGGUUGUUCAUUGUUUAUAUGAUGAUCAAGCACCAUAAUAUGCUUCAAUCCUAAAGAGAGUAAUAUAUAAUUCUUGAUUGGGUAUUUUUUUUUUUUUAAAAAAAAAAAAAACACUAAUAAUAACAUCUUUAACUGAAAGGACACAAUAUGCGUGUUGCGCGAGCUCUGGUUGUUAAAAGCCUGGCAGUGUCAUUAUUUGUGAGAAACCGUUUCAAAUCAUAGAAAUCAAAACAAGCAUUUAUGGCGUUAUCGUGCGAUAUCGAAAAGAUACGCGCGAGAGAUCUACAAAGCUCGAGCGGAAGACUUGAUGACUUUGUGGAUUCAUUUAUACAGAUCUGUAAACGGUAUUGUUAAGAGCCCUAGUCAUUGUAUACCCAACCUUUCAAUUUCAAUAGAAAGGAGGAAGUCAGUCAAUACGGGUGUCUGCAACCAUGGAUUCGAUCAAGCGUUUAGCCCCGAGCCCCUGUGUUUCCAAGUCCAAACACAGGAAACAAUAUUGGGUACGAAACAAAUCUAGUUAUAUUUCUAUGUUUUUCUUAUAAAGAUUAUUCUUAAUGCUUGUUUCUUGACUUCUUGUUGCUAUAUAUCAUGUCAUUAUCCCCAGAAAUUAAAAAUUAUUAUUUUUCUUAUACAUGUUAAGAAGAACAGAGAGAGGAGAGAAACUAUAAAACGAUUGGAAACAGAUAUGAUCGAGAUCGGUGAGGGACAACAACGCAUCAGAGAAGGGCAACGAGAAAUAAGACAAAAGUUUGAAGAGAUAGGAUCUGAAUGCCGCAGGCUCAAAGAGGAGACGAUGAACAUAGCCAAGCAGAGUGAUUACAACCAAGUCAGGAUAAACCUAAUGUUUAGCAUCUUGAAAGCCCGUGAAGACAACAACUUUGCCCAUGCUGAUCACCUUACUGGGCUCCUCCGGUUGGUUAAAUUCCCUUCGCCAUUUCUUUUCUUAAUUCUUGGGAUUUCGGAUUUCAUAAUUAAUCUUGCUAAUGCUAGCUAUUACAAGGAGAGAAACAUAAGUUAACGAACUCAAAAUAAAAGAAUCAAAAUGCACCCUUGAUAAUUAAUCUUCUCUCAAUAAUUGUGUUUCCUAUUCGUUGUGUUGGCAGCAAGGAAAUGGAAAAGCAGGAACAAGGAAAGGCAGGCCUGGUUGGCUGACUCAUGAUCAUGGAAAACGACGAGCAGUUUGCCUUUGCAGUGACUCCUGAUCGUCUUUUCUUAUUAAAAUGAAAUCAUCAGUCCUAAAUCUAGAUAUGUAUCGACAUUAGUCUUCCCUUGAUAUCCUUCUUCCUUUGAUGAAGUAUUCAUUUGAUUAAGGAUUUGCGUUCUCUUUCCGAAUUGAAUGUUUUGAGUUAUAGUACAUACCAUGUGAAUUGCCGGGCGAUGCCACCGAUUGUUAUAUAAACGGUAUAAGCAUUCGGUUGAGUAUAAUCUGAGGUAAUCGAAGAAGAACAUAGGCCGACAUAAUUAAACAAAAUGAGAAAAAAAAUAAAAAUUACUAGAAGUAUUGAGGUUAAGCAAUGCAAUCACAAGCUUUAUGUUAGAGAAACGUAAAGUCUUAACUAGCCUGUUUAGCUUUGCAGUAUUCAGUUGUUUUUAUUUAUUUUGAUUUUGUUUUUUAAGAAUUAUUUUUCAUAUUAAUUUUAAAAUAAAUAAAUAAAUAAAUCAUUUUUUUUUACCAAAAAAGGGUGUGGCUUCAAUAACAAAUAGUGAAAAAGUCUCAAAUACAAAGCAACAAGUACAUAAUAAAUUACCUGAUUGUUAAUCAAGGUAUACAUAAAUUCACUCGAAUAUUUAUAAUUAUUAAAAUAAUAAUAAUAAAGAAAGAAAGAGCUCCAGACUUUUUGACCGUGCAUUCUCAUUUCACUUUGAAUUCCAGUGAGAUUGAUAAUUUCUUUUGGAAAAAAAAACUUGUUUAACUUUGUCUCAGGUGUAGAAAGGUGUUUUCAAUGGGAUUUAUUAGUAAUUAUUAUUUUUAAUAGGGACAACUUAGUUUGUUUGCGUUUUAAAUAAAGUGUAAUGAUUUAAACACUUUUAAAAGUAAGAAAAAUUAAAACUAGUAGGAAUAGUUUUAUGGUUUUAUAGUAAAAGAAUGAUAUUGCCCUUAAAAGAAAAUGAUAAAACUUGUAUUCAGAGUCAUUUAGAUCUUUUCAAUACAGUUAUUUUGUAAUUAUAUAUUUGAAUUAAAAACAAUUAAAUCUUUAAUUAUAUUUAUAUAAAUAAUUAAUAUAUGUCACAUACAUUUUAGCAAGUGAAAGGCGUUCAUGCUCUUAAGAUGAUGUUUGCCUCCCCUAACAAUGGUUAAAAGUUGUGUAAACAAUGAUGUUUGAAACGAUGGGUCAUUCUCUUUGCGAUGGUGGGAUGCUUGUUUACGAAUGAAGUGUGGUUGAGCUCCUUAUAAACAUUUUUCUUUUCCUGUUUUUUCUUCCUCUUUUAGUCUAGAAAUUGAUGCCAACUCUUUUAAAAAUUUAUUGUGUUCUCUAGUUUGUAUUUUUAUUAAUUUUGAUUAUCAUUUGUUUUUGCUUUUAAUGCAUUUUGAUCUUUAAUUGAUUUGCAAUUUCAUCCAUAAGAAUUUUGUUUCAUUUAAUUUUUAUAUGAAAUUUGAUCUUUAUUAUUUUAUUUCUAUUUUUUUUGUUUUUAUACUUAUCUAGAUUUUUUUUUUCAAUUUUACCUCUCAUUAUUUUAUUUUAUUUAAUUUUUGCAUUCAAUUUUAAUCUUUAUUUUUUUAUUGUUAUUUUUUUUAUUUUCUUAAUUUUUUUCAUUUAGCUUUUAUGCUAGAUUUAGUCAUUGUUGUUUCGAUUACUAUUUAUUUUGGUUUUUAAUUUUGGAUGAUUAAGGAUUAUGCUUAGUGAUUUUUUAUUGUUUGCUUUUAAUGAGAUAAUCUCGAUCUUAUGAACCGGGUCACUAUUUCAAGGAUUAAUCCGAUUUAACUUUGAUUUUUUAUUCCUUUUUUUUAAAACAAAAUAAUUACUUUUUAAUUUCAUCAUUUGGUUUUAGGUUAUUAGGUCUAAAUUCCCCCCAUUUAUGUGGUGUUAUUUCGGUGUUAUAUCUUAGGUUGAGUUUUUUUCGAGAUAACUCUGGUUUUUUUUUUUUUAAUUUAGUUUUUCUAAUUUAAUUUUUUAAUAUUAAAUUAUUGAACCUUACAAAUUGUAUUUUGUUCAUUAUUUUUUUUUUUUAUAAGUUUAACAUGAUCUCGAGGUCAUUGUCUUUUUUUUAAAUUAAUUUUUUUAAUCUGGAACUCCCAUCACGGGUCGCAUGGUAGUCCAACUAAUCUGAGUUAAGUUAAAGUUUUUUCAAUUUUUUUUUAUUUUUUUUUACCAGUCGCACGCACUGUGUAGCGUAAAACUAAAAGUUGUAUCAGAAGAAAUGUGCAGGACAUGUGUAGGUCGGCUAAUGCUGGCCAUAAAUAGCCAUGUCUGUGAAGCUAUGCAGGUGUGCUAGUGGAGACAGAAACACUUAUGCAGAAAAGUGUGACGUAUGUUCCGGUAGUUCCAAAAAGAAUCAGAUAAAUAGUUGAGAAAUUUAAUAUUUUAAAGUUGUUUUAUGGGAAACAUGAUAUUUCAAAAAUAUAUUUGUUAAAUGACUUCACAAUUUACGAUGACGAGAGAAAAAUAAAAUAAAUACUUUAAUUAUACAUCAAAUCUAUCAUAAAAAAAACUCGACCAUGUGAAUCUAAUAAAAUUAAAGAAGUUCACCAAGUAGAUCACACUCAUUGAAGCUCUAAUUAUAAUAUCACUAGCAGCAUUAUAAAGUUCUGGACAAAAUAAAUCAAAUAUAAACAAUAAAGAUAAUCAAGGAUAAUGAUAAUUGAAGUGGGUCAUAUAUAAUAGGCGGAAAACAUGGUGAAAUCUAGGGUUAAGAUUAAAAAAGAUGAUGGAAGGGAAGAUGAAGGUGAAGAUGAAGAACAACAAUCAGAUUAGCGAGAAGAACAGGCAUCAAAAUUCUGGAUGGAGAAGUUCCAGUUUUCCAGACUGCAACAGUAGAAAUGAUAAGACCACCUGCUAAGAAGGCCAGUAAUCUGUCGUGAAUGAAGAAAUUCAUGGAUGGUAGCAGCGAGAUUUAGCAUGAAGCAUUUAACUUGUUUUCUCUAUUGUAAUUCAUGUCGCUAGAGGUAAUAGAAUUGCACUUGUCUUGCCAGCAUUUAUAGAGAUAUGAAUCUGUUGAAAGGGAAAUUAAAUCGUAGAGUCAACCUUGUUGCGGAUUCCAAAGGGAAACCAUGAUGGUUUAACAGUUAAGCUUUGGUCAUCAAUGCAAUUGGUUCAGGUUGGGGUUUGGAAGAGGUUCGGUGAACUGCGGCGGCCGGAGCCUAAUCUGAUUAGGAGUGGGUACCCUAGGUUGGUUCGGUGGAACAAAUUGAAACUGGAAGUUGAGAAUGUUUCGUUGGUUCUAGACUCGGAUAAAGAGAGUUUUAGCUCUGGAAAACUGGGAUUUCCUCAAGUUUUAUGGAGAAAAAGAAAUGUGGGCCGGCGACUGUUGGUUCUAGUUUGAACGACGAUUUAAUGGCAUUUGCUCGACGCGUCAGGAUUUCAAUGCUGUGUGGAGUUGGCUGUUCAGAACAGUAUUUACCUCAUAGGGUUGCAAUGCAAUUCGGAACCGACGAAGAUCUUUCAGGGUUGUGUUGGUCAAUGCUCUAAUUAACAGACCUGAGAUUGCAGAGAGCUUAAAGCUUUUGUUGAAGAGCUUGAGCAGAUGAUCACACGAAUAAAAACAGCAAGAUUAAGACAAAAUUGUUAACCUAGCUAGCCUUCUUCGUGAGAACGAUUUGCUUGAUUUUAUUUUAUUUGAAUUCAUGGCUUCUCUUCUCUGUUGGCUAUGCUACUAACAUGGCAGUAGCAUUGCAGCAGGUUCCUAAUAUGGAUAACUCCCGCCAUUGACAACAGAUGCAGAACAAGGUUAAAAGGAUAAAAGAAAUAAAUAUAUUCAUAUGUAACCAUGCACUAUGGCAUGAAGUUAUUAUCACAGUGUGCAGACAAAUGCCGUGUGCUGCUGGACCCAACGAGAGUCUACUAGGCGUUAUCUGUUCUGCCCACCCAAUCCUGACUAGAUAAGCACUUGAGAGUUUUUUUUUAUUUUAUCCAGUUGAUUUGAAGUGUUGUUUUGAUAUAAAUUUUGUAAAGAAGAGAUAUUUUUGUUAAGACCAAUUUGAUAUUUGUAUUUUUGUUUAAUAAUUUUAUCUUUUAAAAAUAUCUUUUAUUUGUUUAUAUAAAAGUUUAAAUAAAAGCAAUAGAAACUAGUAGAAUUCAACAUUAAUUAAAUAUUAUGAUGAUGUUUGAUUCAUGUUGUGAUAACUUUAUAAAUAUUAAAUUCAAAUAAAUUAUGAUGACUAAUUUAAAAUUAAUUAAUUAUUAAAAGAGUUUUUUUAAUAUUAAAAUGAUGAUAUAUUAAAUCAACCUAAACUUUACAGUUUAAUUUGUAAAACCUUGACUUGAAUCAUGAACUCCACUUGACAAAUUAAAAAAAAAAACAUUAAGGUUGUUACGACGAUAAAGCACAAACAACAAUAAUAAUUCAAGAUUUUGACUAAAAGUAGAAUCCAUUAUACAUGUGUGUUGAUUAUUGAGUUAUAACCCGUCCGUAUAUGAAAAGGAAUGAAUUUAGCAAAGUUAUUAAACUCGGUCGACCUAAUGGUUGGACUGGUCUGGGUUUGUUAAAAGACCAGUCAAUGCAAUGACCCGACAAAACCUGGUCGACCCAUGACCCGGAUGAGACCCAAUAUUUUUUUUUUCAAACGUGGUUUUUUUUUAUAACCUUCUUUUUUAUAUUUUUUUUAGUUGGUUAUUAACACUUUUUAAAGUUCACUAUAUAAAUACUAAAAAUAUAUUUUAUUUUUUCAAUGUAGAAUUUGAAACCCUUUAGUAUAUACUCUAUGUUCCCAAGAAAUUUUUUUUUUUUUCAAUGUGGGAUUUCAAGCCCUUUCAUAUAUAUACUUUAUGUUCAUAAGAAAAAAGUUAUGUUUUUUCAAAGUGAGAUUUGAAACCAUAUAGCAUAUAUACUCUGUUUCCAAGAAAAAACGUUGUUUUUUUAAAUAUGUAAUUUGAAGUUCCUUCGUAUAUAUACUCCAUGUUCAUAAGAAAAAUGUUAUGUUUUUUCAAUGUGAGAUAACAAACGUUUUGGUUUAAAUACUUCAACUUAAAAGUAUGACAUAAUAUAUUUUUAAUGUGAGAUUUAAAGCCCUUUAAUAUAUAUAUAUAUAUAAUAUAUAUAUAUAUAUAUAUAUAUAUAUAUAUAUACACCUAUAUUCCUAAAAAAAAAAAUUAUUUUUUCAAUGUAGGAUUUAAAGUCCUUUUGUAUAUAUAUUUUAUUUUCACAAGAAAAAUGUUAUGUAUUUUUCAAUGUAAGAUUUUAAAUUUUUUAUUAUACUUUAUCUUUAUAAAUUUUUUUUUUAAAUUAAUCCAAUUAACCUGUCUACCUUUAGAGCUGAUUUAAUAAUUUUGGGAUGGAAGGAAUAUUUAAAAUAGUCUUAGAACAAGUCACAUUUGUUUGCUACCCGAUUUGAAAAGAGAAAGUUGCUCUCCCGUAAUGUCUACUUUUAAAAUCAAAAGAAUCCAACAGAAAACGGCAACCAUGACCAUGCCAAAAGGGCUUAAACAAAAGCUCUACAAGAUCAAUCCACGAAAGUUAAACUCCAUUGAAUCAAGAUUUGAAUGUGCUGGGCAAUGAAAAGCCCACGAUUAUAUAAAAUAAAAAAAUAAAAUUCAAAGAGAGUACUGGAAUGCUUGACUAUAACUGUAAAACCAAGCCUAGUCCAAUAAAUCUAUGUAAAAAUCCGAUAAUUCAGAACCUAGAUUAAUUGCUAUCAUGAUUUAUGACCUAACCAAUUUAGUUACAUUAAUGUUGACCAUGAUUUAGUCUAGAUUUAUCCUAGUCAAAAGAGAAAAGAAAUUCCAUAAAAUCUUAACAUGAUAAUCGGGGUCAUUUUCUUCGAGCAAGCAACGAAUCUCCAUAAAAUCUUAAACAUAAUUAGUGCAUAGAUUACCAAAUAUAUAUAUAUAUAUAUAUAUAUAUAUAUAUAUAUAUUGUACCAGAUGAAACAAAACAAUUCUCAGUACGUGGCGUUGUUAUACCUGAGAAUGAUCUAAAAAAUCAGGUCAUAGAUUUCUAGCCUAUACACUGAUUUUAUUAAAAGAAUGAAGAAAGAAAUGGAAGUAAAUAUAAACAAAUUUCUAAUACGAACGAAUAAGGCAAGACCAACAAUGUCAGGAUCCUUGAUCAAACACAGAGCAUUCUUAAUAAAGUAUAACAAGAAUUUAAAUGAUGAAAAUAAAGUCUUACUUAAAUUUGUAAUGCAAAUCAAUACACGAGAUAUUGAUUAUAGAGGAGAGUGGAUAUGGGUUAAAGGUACGAGUUACAAGGGAGAAUAAAAUUUUCUCAGGGAAAAUGAUUGUCUGCCUUCUGAGGAUUUAGAAGUCCCCUUUUAUAAAUGAGUUGACACGGAAGAGGCCAAAAUGUCUUGUUGGGAAAGCUUGGAGAUUUCGUUAGAACCCAUGUGAACCCAUGUUGUAUUGCUUUCCAUGAUUGGGUGACGACAAAAUGAAAAAUGCCUAUGUUUUUUGUGGGACUUUCAUUUGUUGUCUUCUUGCCACCGACACUGGAUUUGUUUGUUUGUAAUAGCAGGUGAUAUUUGUAAUAAAAAACCUAAAACUAAUGGGCUUAAAAUUAAAAAGGACUCAAAACAGUUGAGUCGAAAAUAUAUGGGCUCUAAACAGAUGAGCCUGAGAAAGCCUAAAAUACUCUUUUUUUUAUUUUAUUUUAAUGUCGCUUGAUAGGCGGUAGGAUACCAAAACAGUCAUCUUCAUUAUCGUCUCCAAGGGAAAUGGUAAGAGAUAUCGAUCCAGAUGAGCUGGAUUGGGACAAGACCGUUUUCGGGUCUUGGCUUUGUAUAAUGCUUUGGACUAUUUGUAGGUAUUCUUCUUUAGUUUUAGUAGGCAAUGAAAGUUGUCGUUUGAGACUUUCGGGCUAGAAACUUUGAUUGAGGAUGAUGAUCAAUGAUGAGAGCUAUUUGAUGUUUUUGUAACCAUUCCGUAACAACUAAUUUGGAACUUUUGGAUUCAGCUGCAAAAGAAUCCUACCAUUUGAUUUUGAACUUGCGAACAAGUACUAGAUGUCCGAUUUGUAGAUUAUAAUCAUAAAACCAUGAAUAUACCCAUGGCAUAAAAACUUUUAUACAGAAAAUGAGAAGGGAAGAGAACUUCCUUUCAUAAGGAGCUAGUUAAAAUUUAUUUUUGAAAUGGAGGUAACUAUUUUCAACUAGAGGAUGGUCUUUGAGGUAGUCAACAUGACAACCAUAGUAGUCCCACCAUUUGAGGAACCAGAGUGGGAGGUUUGUAGUAUUCAUGUCAUUAUGGAAGUAGAAAAACCAAGAAUGACUAUGGUUUGGAUUUUGUAGUAGGAAGGCAUUGAACUAUGCCUGUUGGUAAUCCUAGUACGUAUAGGAAGUAUUGAAGUCCUAGGGGUUUGUACGGAAGUGUAUGAGGAAGGAGAGAUGUUGAUGUAAGGGUUGUCCCCAAUCUUUAGGGUGAAUGACUUUGUGAAUGAUACAUGUAGAAUAUGGCGGUUCAGUGUGAUCAGAAUGAAGUUUGAAGUGUUUGAACUUGACAAAAUUGGUAAUUUCAAGGAUUGCGGCAUAAUAGGUGGUUUGGCUAAAUUCCAGGGUUUGUAGUACCAAUUUGAAUGGAAAAUUUUGGAAGCAACAAUGGAAGGGUUUUCAUGUUAAAAUCCUUCUUCCAUAGUUAAAAUAUUUUGGAAAGUAGUUUUGAAAAUAUAUUUGGAUUUGGUGUUUGGAAAACUGGUUUAUUGUAAAGAAAAGAGGGGUUUUGAAGCAGAAAUGCCUCCUUGAGGUUUUGAAAAUGAUUUGGAAAUAGAUACGGAGUCGCUGGAGGCCUAUUGAGACACUUUUUAUAAUGUUAGGAGUAAUUCUGGUGAUUUGGAUAUAGUGUCAACCCAAUGUUGAACUGCGUAUGUUUGUACAUAUGGUGGUUUUAUAGUUUCUUCUUCUUCAAUAACUGCCUCAUACCAGGAUUUGAUGGGUUUGACAGCUAAGAUAGCUGAAGACAUGAGUUUUGAAAAAGGCUUGGGGCUCUCUGAUUUUGUAGGCUGGGUUUGAGGGGCUUUCCCCUUGUUUUUGGCCUUUGCUUUAGGAGGCAUCAAUACCUAUUUUGAAGGAAUUCUCAGGUUAGGAAAUCAGAAUGGAAUUUGAAUCUCCUUUAAUGUAGACAAUAUCGAAAUAAAAAAUGCUUAAAAUAGCUUGCCAUCUGGCAAAAAUCUGUUUUAAAGCAAGAUUUUGGACAUCUUUUUGUAGAAUUUUUUUUUUGCAGAUUUGCAAUUAACACGUAAAAGAAAUUUUUGAUUUAAUAAAUCACUUUGAAAUUUUGUAAUACAGAAAACAAUUGAAAGGAUCUUUUUUUAUAGUAGAGUAAUUUUUCUGGCAAUCAUUCUAGUGGGCGGAUGUGUAUUGGAGGAUUUGUUCUUUAAGAAUCCCACCAUAUCCUAGGUCAGAGACAUCGGUCUCGACAAUCUUAGGAGCUAACGGGUUAGCUAAAUGGAGGAGAGAAAUAGUUUGGACCUCUUACUUAAUCUGUUUGACUAGGUCGGUAUGGAUGUCGGACCAAGAAAUGAGGUUUGUUUUUAACGUGUCAUGUAAAGGUUUGGCUAGACCGCUAAUAUUGGGAUAGUAGUCUAGAACAUAAUUAAGACUGCCUAAAAACCUUUGCAAUUGGGUUUUAUCGGUGAUCUUAUUAGGAAAUUUAUUUGUAAAGGUUAGAGACUUUUUUAUUGGUGUUACAGUGCCUUGGCAAAUAUAAUGCCCUAGAAAACGGACACGAUUUGGAAGAGAGAAAAUUUUGUUUUAGAAACAAUUAAACCAUUUUUUUUUGUAGUAUGAAAGGAAGUAUGUAGAUGUUUGAAAUGUUGAUCUAUGGAAUGUGAAAAAAUAAUCACAUCGUCAAUGUAAACAAUGCAGAACUUUGAAUGUGCAUUGAAGAUGUCAUCCAUGAUGCGUUGAAAUUCAGAUGGUGCAUUUUUUAGGCCAAAGGGCAUAACAAUCCAUUUGUAUUGGCCUAAAGGAACUAUAAAAGCAGUUUUGUAUCUAUCUUUGGGAUCAAUCUGUAUUUGCCAAAAUCCGGAUUUCAUAUCGAACUUAGAAAAUAUGAAUGCAGAGUGCAAUUUUUGUAACAUAUCUUUUUUGUUGGGGAUUAGAUAUCUGAUCCAUUUGAGAGCAGAAUUUAAAGGUUUGUAAUUGAUCACAAGUCUUGGUAUGCCUCUUUCGAUUUCAGAGUUUUUAUUCACAUAAAAGGCUGCACACAACCAGGGUGAUCGAGACUUUUGGAUAAGACCUUUAGACUCGCAAUCGCGGAUUUCAAGUAUGCAAUGCUGUUCUAAAUCAACAUUUAUUUGGAUAGGUCUUGCUUUUGUAGUUAUAAGAUUUUUUGAAAAAGUAUCUUCAUAUGAAAGAUCAACGAUGUGUUGUUUUCUUUUCUAGAAAGCAUUAGGUAAGUCUGAACAGAUUUGUUGUUCAAUCUUAUUUUGUAAAUCAAUGAUUUUCUUUUGUAAAUCAGAGUUUUGUAAUUGUUUGUUUAUACGACCAAAAAAAAAAAGGUUUUGUAAAUCAUGUAAAUGGAAUUGUUUUCCAUGAAUCAGUGCAUUGAUAUGAUAAGUAUGUAUGGAGCAUGCUUUAAUCAAAUUUAAAUUUCUAGUCUUAGAUUUCUCUAAGAAUGGGAGAACAAGUUUGAUGCUAUUGAUUUUGGAAGUAAUACAAUUAUGAUGUGCUUGAUAUGGAGUGAUCAUGUCGAUGAAUGGAGUGCCAAGAAUGAUAGUAUGAUUAAUAUCUUUUGUAACAACAAAGAAUGUUUUAAGAGAAAUACCUUUGUUGAAAACAGAGGUUGAGUUUUGCCUGCAAUAUGUAACUUUGAAUUAUUAGCAGCAAAGAGUUUUUCAGAGGUAUUUUGUAAAAAUUAUUUUGGAGCCACACCUUCUUUGAUGCAGUUCAAAUAUGCACUUGUGUCAAAUAAGACAAUAGUGUCAAGUUUGAAAUCUCUUGAGAAAAUGAGAGUAAUUCUAGUUAAAUAUUUUUUUGAAGAUAUUUGUGUUAAUACGUUAAGGAAAUCAUUUAGAACAUGCUCAAUAUUUGUAAGUGUAUGUGGCAAUGCAUGAGAUUCAAUGGUUUGAUCUUCUAUAUCAGACUCAGUAUCAAACUAGCUUUCAAUUAUGGAUAGGAGAUGUUGUAGUAUGGCAGAGUCUUUUUGUUGGGCUUGGUUGAGGGUUUGUAAUUCGGAUUUGAGGGUUUUGAUCCUAGAAUGUAAUUCUGAAAUGGUGACUGUGGUUUUGAAUUUCUUUUUGUUAAGGAUCUUUGUAAGGUCAUAGGUACUGGUACUAGUAGAGGGUAGUAUAGAGCGAUUUAGAGGGUUAGAUGAAAGGUAAUCUGGUUGGUUGAAAUCUUUCAAUAACUUAUCUAAGUAGGUUUUUUGAAGUUGAGGAUCAUCAAGUCUUUUGAUAACCUCAAGAAUGAAUUUCUAGUCUUGGGUUAAGACGUUAAUUUGUUUGGAAUUUGUAGAGGCAUAUGAAGUAGCACUAGUAGUUGCUAUUUUAUCGAUUUGAAAUUCUUCUUCAGAAGUGUCUGAAGGAGAGUGGUCAAUGUCUGUGACUUCAAUGUAAAGAUUUUAUAUUUGGUUGAUGGUAUCUUCAUUUAUUUUGAGCUUACAAAGUUUGGUAUUGACCUUGCAGAAACGAGAUAUAUGUCCUUUCUGGUUACAUUUGUAACAAAUAAUGUUUUUAAAAUUAAAUGUUGGUUUGGAUUUUGACUGAAAAUGUCCGUGGGGCUUGGUAAAUUUAUAGAGCUUUUUGUAGUAAGGUUGAUUUAAUUUGGAACAAAACUGUUUUCAUAGUCGACAAGCUCCUCUCUUUAUCCAUUCAGUCCUGAAAAGUAACUAAGACAAUUUCAGUUAUAUUUUCAUGUUCCAAUUAAACACUUUUUAUUUUUUUAUUCUCAAAGAAAAAUAUAUUUUUUUAUUAAAUAUAUAAAGAUCCAAUCAUGAUUUUAUAAUAAGAAUAAGAGAUAUUUUAGUUGGAAAUGAAUCUAAAUGUUAGCUAGAUAAAUGUUUUGUAUGAAUCCUGUAGACCAUUCUUACGAGGAUCGUGAGAGGAGGGCUACAAUUCGUAGAAAAGAAACUGCAAUUCCUUGAGGUCAUCCUGCACUUGUAGAAAAAAUGUAGAAAAUAGAAUUUGAAACAGAAAGUUGAGAAUGUUUCCGUUGGUUCUAGACUCGGGAAAGAGAGAGUUUUAGCUCUGGAGAACUGGGAUUUCGUCAAGUUUUAUGGACCUGUUUUUGGUCAAUGCUCUAAUUAACAGACCUGAGAUUGCAUAGAGCUUAAAGCUUUUCUUGAGCAGAUGAUCACACGAAUAAAAACAGCAAGAUUAGGACUAAAAUUGUUAACCUAGCCUUCUCGUGAGAAUGAUUUGGUUGAUUUUGUUUGCUUUGCUAGUUAUGUUAACAACUCAAGCUUGGCUUUGACAUAUGAAGCAGAUGAAAGUGUUUGGGCUUUAAGCUUUUCAUGACCACCCGGCCGGAGAUUGAAUUCCUGGCUUCUCUUCUUCUGUUGGCUCUGCUACUAACAUGGUAGUAGAGCUUUCGACUGUCAGGCAUGGCGUCAGUAUCGUCAGUAUCGUCACUACUAACAUGGUAGUAGAGCUUCCUUGAAGUUGAAUAUGACUCCUCGGAAGCUCUUCGAUGCCAGUCUUCACAUCGUAAUGUAUUCGCUUCUAACUUAUUUGGGGUCUUUUCAGAAUGGAUCUUGAGAAUGUUCCUCCUCCUGUUCUUCGGUAUCUUUUGGACGCUGAUAGAAUAGGUAUUGCAGCAGGUUCCUUCAUAGAUCAUAACUCCCACCAUUCACAACAGAUGCAGAAGAAGGUUAAAAGGAGAAAAGAAAUAAGUAUGGUAACCAUUGCAGCAGCAUGGCAUGAAGAGGUGUGCUGGACCCAACGCACAGUCUACUAGGCGUUAUCUUUUCUGACAAGCCAAGCAGUCGAGAUUUUAUUCGAUUUUAUCCUGUUGAUUUGAAGUGUGCGAUUUGAUCGAGAAAAAAACUGAAAAGUAUAUUAAAAAUAAAUAAUAAUUAAAAAAAUCGAAUGGGAUAGGGAUAAGGAAUCGCGGCGAUAAACAAACAGAGGAGGCAAGAUAAUAGAUAUGUAAAACCUUCCCCUUCCACCAACAGGGCAUUCCAACAGCCUUCUCGUGCAAACAGUCGAAAAUGCUAGAAAAGAGAAAGAAUAAAAGUGGAUUCAACCUCAGCCAAACUCGUACCUGAAGAUAGAAGAAAGUGAAUUAUUCACGAGUAUACAUAAUAGUAUUUGCUUCCGUAAUCUUGCCACCAAUGUAUGGAAUCGAUUAAAUUAAUUAAAAUUUUUUAAAAAAUAAACCGAUUUGGUUCGGUGGAACAAAUUGAAACAUGAAGUUGAAAAUGUUUCAUUGAAUAUGACUCCUUGGAAGCUCUUCGAUGCCAGUCUUCACAUCUUCAUAUUCAGGCUCUUCUUGGCUCGAGGAGACCAUGCAAAUUCCUUCAUUAAUUAAUUACGGUGAAGGUAAUCAAUGUAUUCGCUUCUAACUUGUUUCGGGUCUUUUCAGAACAAUUCAAUGGAUCUUCAGAACGUUCCUCCAAUUCUUCGGUAUCUUUUGCAGCAGGUUCCCUCAUGGAUCAUAACUCCCACCAUUCUCAACAGAUGCAGAAGAAGGUUAAAAGGAUAAAAGAAAUAAAGGUUAAAAGGAUAGUAACCAUUGCAGCAGCAUGGCAUGAAAAAGCUUAUCACAGUGUGCAGACAAAUGCCGUGUGCUGGACCCAACACACGGUCUGCUAGGCGUUAUCUGUUCUGCCCACCAAUUCUUACAAGAUCAGCACUUGAGGUUUAUUUGCUUUAUCUUUAUCUUUAUCUUUAUCUAUCUUUAUCAGUUUAACAAUUUUAUUUUUUUAAUUAUAUAAUAAUAUUAUAAAAUUAAACUAAAUAUUAUGAGAUGUUUGAUUGAAACUAAACAACUUUAUAAAAUAAUUCUUGAAUGGAUAAUCUGAAAACACCAAAAAUAAUUCAAGAUUUUUACUGAAACUAGGGCCCGUUAUGGAUGUUGUUGGUUAUUAGGCUAGAUAUGUUAUGUCCAUAACAAAUGAAUCUGAUCUAAAUAUUUAAAAGAAUUAUUAAAAAAAAUAAACAGUGUAUAUAUAUAUAUAUAUAUAUAUAGAUAUAGAGGCCCAUAGAAGAUCAGCCUGAUUAGGUUUCUAGCGUUAUCGUGCGUUAGUUAAAAAUAAAUCUGAUCAAAUACACAAUUUUGUCAACUAACACUCCUCCUUAAGUUAGUGCAUAAAUAUCUAUUAUGCCUAACUUGUCAAUCAUACUCUAAAAAUUCUUAUUUAAUAUUGUGUUAGUGAGGAUAUCAGCUAUAUGACUUGCAGAUUUAACAAACAAAAAACAUAUAAUUUUUUUAUUAUCUAAAUUCUCUUUGAUGAAAUGACGAUCUACUUCAACAUGUUUAGUUCGAUCAUGUUGAACAUGAUUAUGUGUAAUCUGCUUAUUAUCACAUUACAAAUUGAUAGGAUCUGUAUACUUGAUCUCCAAAUCCUUGAAAACACUCUUGAUCCAUAACAACACAUAUUCCCUAAACCAUUUCUUGAAAUUCUACUUCUACACUAGAUCAUGCUACAACUUUCUAUUUUUUACUUCUCUAAGUAAUCAAAUUCCCUUCCACAAAGGUCAGAUAACCAAACAUAUACCUUCUUAGUGUUUGAUCUCCUGCCCAAUCUGUAUCAGUAUAGCCUUUAAUAUUUGAGACACAAUUCUUUGAGUACUAUAAACCUUUGUCAGGCGCACCUUCAAGAUAUCUCAAGAUUAUGUAAACUGCAUCCAUAUGCAUAAAUUGGCUCACAAUACAUAUAAUAUAAAUUAUAUCAAAACUAUUGUGGGUUAGGUAAAUUAACUUACCCACAAGUUUUUGAUACCGACCCAUAUCUAUAGGGACUUGAUCUGGAAAGAUCCCAAGUUGACGAUUCAUUUGUAUUGGUGUUUCAAUAGGUUUGCAAGCUAGCAUCUCAAUCUCACUUAGAAGAUUUAAUACGUAUUUAUAUUGUGAAUGGGAAAUUCCUUGUUUGGACCUUACUACUUCAAUGCCAAGAAAAUACCUUAGUUGUCCCAAAUCUUUCAUUUUGAAUUCUACAAACAAGUACUCUCGUAGUGUCCUCAUUUCUUUAGGAUCAUUACCUAUCAAAAUCAUGUCAUCUGCAUACAUAAUGAAUGUCGUUACCCUUCCAUCUUUAUGUUUUACAAAUAAUGUAUGAUCUAUAUUGCUCUAUUCAUAACCAGCUGCUUUCAUUGCCAAAGUAAACCUCCCAAACCAAGCACGAGGAGAUUGCUUUAAACCAUACAGAGAUCUCUUUAGUUUGCACACUCUGCCUUCGUGUUUGGAACUUUGUUUUAUUCCAGGCAUAAGUUCUAUUUACACCUCUUCUUCUAGAUCACCGUUCAAGAAAGCAUUUUUUACGUUGAAUUGUUGUAGGGGCUAAUCUCAAUUUGCAGCAAUGGAUAUGAGAAUAUAGAUGGUGGUGAUCUUGGUUACUGGUACAAAGGUCUCUUGGUAGUCGAUACCAUAUUUAUGGGCAUACUCUUUGGCCACGAGUCUCGCUUUAUAUCUAUCUAUGCUUCCAUCCGCUUUAAGUUUAACAAUGUAUACCCAUCAACACACAAUCACCUUUUUUUUCUGUUGAUAACACAACAAGUUCCCAAGUGGAGUUCUUUUGUAAGGCUUCCAUCUCUUCAUUCAUGGCCUUUUUUCACCUUGAAUCUGCCAAUACAUCCUACACAUUAUUAGGAAUAUAUACUUUGGAUAAUUGAUUAAUGAUUAGUGCAUAAGAUUCCAAAAGUCCAUGAAAAGAGACAUAGUUAUUGAUAGGAUAUUUAACAUUGGUUUUACUAUACAGCUCGUAUUGUUUCUUUGUAACACCUUUAUUAGGUCUUUGUGAAUACCUAGGAGUGGGUUGAGAUGUAUCCUUAGUGGUGGGAUUAUCUAGGAUAUUUUGGGCAGAAAAAUCUAUGGUUGAUGGUGCGAGUAAGUCACUCAUCACAGUUUCUUCCUUAUUAAGGUUUGUAGCUUCUGUGUCACCAGCACACAAUUCGGUCAUCUCAACUUCUUCCCCAUCAUGGUUUACAACAUCUAUGUCACCAACAUAAUCCCCACAAAGAUCACUGUCCAAUGAUAAAUUCCUCUUGUUUGGAAUAGUUUAAGUAUUAGUGAACGAAGUAGCAUUAUACUCGUUAUUAUUCAUCCUUUUUUUCAAAUGCCACUAGCUACAUAAAAACACCAUCAUCCUCACUUUUAUCAAAAACAAUAUUGCAAAGCUCACCUUUUUCAUACACAUUCCCCCCUGAAGAGGAGAGCCUAAGUCGCUUGUUAAAUAAUAAGGAUUCAUUUCACGAAAGGAGACAUCAAGAGAUAUAUGUAGCUUAUGAGUUUGAGGGCAGUAACAUCUGUAUCCUUUCUGAAAAUUAGAGUAACUAACAAAUACACAAUAUUGUACAACCAAAGGUUUUAGGUUCGAAGUUUGGUUGAUGGGGUGUGUAAAAGAAGGUUUGUAAUUUUUAGUAUGGGGUCUGGAAAUCAAUCACCCAGGAAGGCACUAUAUUGAUAAUGUAGACAGUAGACUUAAUAGCCUCUCCAUAAUAGAAGGGAGGCAUAUUCAUUCCAAAAAAAGAUGCACGUACCACCUCCAUGAUCUGCCUAUUUUUCCUCUUCGCAAAUCCAUUUUAUUGAGGUGUGCAGGUGCAAGAAGUAUGAUGUCUAAUUCCCUGUUUUCGAAGAUAAUCACCAAGCAAGUUCUCAAGAAAUUCCAUGGAAUUGUCAUAUUGCCAUACCUAAAUCUAUUUGUGAAAUUGAGUUUUCACCAUGUUGUAAAAUUCCUAAAAAGUAGUACUUGCAUCACUUAUCUUAUGUAAUAAGGAUACUCACGUCAUACGAGUGCAUUCAUCAAUAAAGGUAAUAAAAUAACGAGUUUUAGCCAUAAAUGGGAUGACUAUAAAUCCCCAAGUAUCAAAGUGAAUAACCAUAAGGGUUCAGAGCUUUUGUUGAAAGAGGGAAAAUAUGGUUUACUAUGGCUCUUUACCAAUUCACAAAUGUCACACUGAAAAUCCAAAAUAUGCAAUUCUGUAAACAAAUUAGGUUUUAAUUUCUUAAGGUAACUAAAGGAAAGAUGCCCUAGUCUCUUAUGCUAGAGCCACACCUUAAACAGCUUCCUAUCACCCAUCAUCACAAAACAUGCCUUAAUGUACUGCCAUAUGCUAGUUGUUGUCAAUUUCAAGUAGUAGACACCACAACCAAGAGUCUUUCGGGUCAAAAUAUCUAGAAAAACACAAUAAAAAGGCAAAAAAGUUAUAGUGCAAUUUAGUACUAAAGUGAUUUGGCUUACAGAUAACAAAUUCCAUUCAAGACUAGGAACAACCAAUACUAUAUCAAAAGUUAUGGCAGUAGUUAGAGCAAUGGAGCCCUUUCUUGUAAUAGGGGAGAUAUCAUCAUUGAUUGUAGAUAUGACUUGUUAGGAUGAUGAGCGAAGAUUUUGUAAUUUACUAGAGUCUCUAAUCAUAUAAUCGGAUGUACUAGUAUCAAUAAUCCAACUAUUAUCCAUAGUAAUAGCAGAAAGAACACUAGCCUUACCAACACUACCUGGCUGAGUUAAAUUAGGAGGAGGCAUUGAAGUCCCCUCCUGAAUUAGAAGGCUUUCACCUGAUUUAGCUAUUGCAGCUUUCCUAGUAAUGUUCUUUCAUGGUUUUUUUUGAAAAAUCCCACCAGGAUAUCUAAUAAGCUCAUAGCAAUGCAACGUUGAAUGGCUAGAUUCACCACAGUGGGUACAAACAUAGUUAUUUGGCUUUCAUUAACCUUGACUAUUUUUUUCUUUGGUAGAACUAGAACCUAUCCCUCGCUGGUUUCGGUUAACUAUCAUGACUGUAUUUUUAGAGACCGGUCGAGAAACUCCAAUAACUUGUCGAUGUUGUGAGUCUCUUCUCCCACAUGCGUAGGCUGCUUCCAGGUCCAGUUUUGGUUCCUUUCCAAGAAUAUCCCCACGGAUUUGAUCAUUUUCAGAAUCAAGACCGCUUAAAAAAAAUGUACUCACAAUCUCAUCAGCACCGCAUGAAGUUGUACAAUCCCUUCAAUAGAUUCUUAUUUGGAUGUGCUGCAAUAUCGAUUUCUGAAAGAUUGCAACAAGUUCAUUAUAAUAUAUGGGUAAAGGCCUACCAUUUUGAGUGGUUGAAAAGGACUUGUAAUUCAUUUCGACCAAUUGUGUUUCAUCAAAUCCAUUGUAGAAUCUCUGCAUCUAGUGGGGGCUCAUUGAUUCGAUGAGCCAGCUCUUUACUUUAUGAUUUUCGAUAAUCCAUGUAUCAUAGUUCGGAUCGUUAGGUGCAAGUUUCACUGUUGUCCCAAUUAGAUACCCAACCUUGUUGCGGGUCCCAAUAUGCAUCUCUAUCAACUGCAGCCAUAACAUAUAGUUACCAUAUACUGACGGGAAACUUGUUGAAUGAUAAUUGGGUUUGACAAAGGAUUGUGUGGAGUGGCUGGAACAAUUGGAUUUCAUUCUUGUUCUGCUAUUGUGAUUUUGUUUGUAGGAGGAAGUCCCUGGAAUACAAAGGUCAAGGGAGAAUGCAGGGAAGAAUAGUUAAAAAAAAAAAAAAAGUUUUUCAAGCCUGAGCUCUGAUAUCAUGUUGAUUACGACAUUCAACCGAAGCUUUUCAUUCUGUAAAUAUUUCUGCGCGCUACAAUGUAUUCAUCUUUUCAGGAAAUAUAUAUAUAAAGGAAGUAAAACGUCCUAGUAUGCCUAAACUCCUAUUCAGGGUAAGACUAUCUGUACAAGGAAACAACUACAAUCUUGGAAUCCAUACGUCUCGACAGCUAAUACACAAUCUUGCCAGCUACCACUAUCAAAAUGGUAGACCCGUGAUAUUUGCUGGAGAGAAACAAUGAGGCCCUUCUUGGCUCUCUCCAAUCUAUGCCCGAAGGUCGAUGUGCAUGUGAUGUGUCUUCCCACAUGAUGAUCCUGACAGAGCAAGGCCUAACACUUUUCCAGUGUCCUAAAUAGUUUGAUUAACGUGUCUUCCCAAUUUUUAUUUUUUUUAAAAAAAAACAAUAAUAAUAAUCAAAAUAUUAACUGAAAAGAGGACACAAAAUGCGUGUUGCUUGAGAUCUGGUGGUUAAAAGCGUGGCAGUCUAUUAUUUAUGAGAAACUGUUUUAAAUCAUAGAAAUUAUAACAACAUUUUCUGGCGUUAUCGUGCGAUAUCGAAAAGAUACGCGCGAAGAGAUCUACAAAGCUCGAGCGGAAGACUUGAUGACUUUGUAGAUUCAUUUAUACAGAUCCGUAUAAAUGAACGGUAUUGUUAAGAGCCGAUGUUAUUGUAAACACAACCUUUCACUAUCAAUAGAGAGGCGGAAGUCAGUCAAUACGGGUGUCUGCAACUAUGGAUUCGAUCAAGACUUUGGCCCCGAGCCGCCGUGUUUCCAAGUCCAAACACAGGAAACAAUAUAAGGUACGAACCAAAUCUAGUUAUAUUUCUAUGUUUUUCUUAUAAAGAUUAUUCUCAAUGCUUGUUUCUUGACUUGUUGUUGCUAUAUAUCAUGUCAUUAUCCCCAGAAAUUAAAAAUUAUUAUUUUUCUUAUACAUGUUAAGAAGAACAGAGAGAGGAGGGAAACUAUAGAACGAUUGAAAACAGAUAUGAUCGAGAUCGGUGAGGGACAACAACGCAUCAGAGAAGGGCAGCGAGAAAUAAGACAAAAGUUUGAAGAGAUAGGAUCUGAAUGCCGCAGCCUCAAAGAGGAGACGAUGAACAUUGCCAAGCAGAGUGAUUACAACCAAGUCAGGAUCAACCUAAUGCUUAGCAUCUUGAAAGCCCGUGAAGACAACAACUUUGCCCAUGCUGAUCACCUCACUGGGCUCCUCCGGUUGGUUAAAUUCCCUUCGCCAUUUCUUUUCUUAAUUCUUGGGAUAUUGGAUUCGAUAAUUAAUCUUGCUAAUGCUAGCUAUUACAAGGAGGGAAACAUAAGCUAACGAACUCAAAAUAAAAGAAUCAAAAUGCACUGUUGAUAAGUAAUCUUCUCUCAAUCAUUGUGUUUCCUAUUCGUUGUGUUGCCAGCGAGGAAAUGGAAAAGCAGGAACAAGGAAAGGCAGGCCUGGUUGGCUGACCAAUGAUCAUGGAAAACAAGGAGCAGUUUGCCUUUGCAGUGACUCCUGAUCGUCUUUUCUUAUUAAAAUGAAAUCAUCAGUCCUAAAUCGAGAUAUGUAUUGACAUUAGUCUUCCCUUGAUAUCCUUCUUCCUUUGAUGAAGUAUUCAUUUGAUUAAGGAUUUGCGUUCUGUGAUCCUAGUUGAAUGUUCUGAGUUAUAGUAUAUAUACUAGGUGAAUUGCCGGGCGAUGCCGCCGGUUGUUAUAUAAACGGUAUAAGCAUUCGGUUGAGUAUAACCUGAGGUAAUCGAAGAAGAAGAAGAUAGGCAGACAUAAUUAAACAAAAUGAAAAAAAAUACCAGAACUAUUGAGGUUAAACAAUGCAACCACAUGCUCUCUGUUAGAGAAACACAAAGUCUUAACUAGCCUGUUUAGCUUUGCAGUAUUCGGUUGUUUUUUUUAUUUGGAUUUUUAAAAUUUAUUUUUUAUAUUAAUAUAUUAAUUUAAAAAUAAAAAAAAAUUAUUACAAAAAUUAUUUUUUUAGAAAACAACAGUGUGGCAUCAAUAACAAACAGUCUCGAAAAGUCUCAAAUAUAAAGCCACGUGUGCAUAAUAAAUUGUAAUUAAUUUGGAAUUUAUUUUCUAAAUAUUACUAAUUUAAAUGUUAUAAAUCUCAAAGUAAUUUAUCUGAUUUUUAAUUUUAUAGUUUUGAAAAAUUAAUCAAAAUAUAAAUAAGUUGGUCUAGACAUUUAUGAUUAUAUAUAAAAAAAAACAAGAAGAAAAGAAAAAAUUAAAGAGCUCCAGACUUUUUGACCGUGCAUUCUCAUUUCACUUUGAAUUCCAGUGAAAUUAUUAUUUUCCUUUGGAAAAAAGAACUUGUUUAACUUUGUCUCAGGUGUAGAGAGGUGUUUUCAAUGGGAUUUAUUAGCUAUCAUUAUUUUUAAUAGGGAGAAGUUAGUUUGUUUGCGUUUUAAAUAAAGUGUAAUGAUUUAAACACUUUUAAAAGUAAAGAAAAAAAACUAGUAGAAAUAGUUUUAUGGUUUUAUAGUAAAAGAAUCAUACUAUCAUUAAAAAAAUAUAUUAUAAAACUUGCAUUUAAAAAUAUUUAGGUCUUUUCAUCUUUUCAACACGGUUAUUUUGUAAUUAUAUAUUUGGAUUAAAAACAAUUAAAUCUUUAAUCAUAUAUAAAAAAAAAAUUAAAUGGUUGAUGUGUGUCUCACAUGCGUUAAUAAGCGGAAAGUGCUUAUGCUCUUCGGGUUAUAUGUGUCUACCCUAUCAAUAGUUAAAAGUUUGUGUCAAUGACAAUGUUUGAAACGGUGGGUCAUCCUCUUUGUAGUGGUGGGAUGCUUGUUCAUGAAUGAAUUGCGGUUGAACUUCUUAUAAACAUUUUUUUUUCUCGCUCUCUCCUAGUUUAGAAAUUGACACCAACUCUUUUAAAAAUCUAUUAUCUAUUGUGUUCUUUAAUUUGUGUUUUUAUUAUUUUUUAUCCUUAUUUUAUUUAUUUUCAAUUGUUUUUACUUUUAAUGCAUUUUAAUCUUUAAUUGUUUUGCAAUUUCAUCCAUAUGAAUUUUAUUUUAUUUAAUUUUUAUAUCAAAUUUGAUUUUUUUUUUGUUUUUAUACUUUUCUAGAUUUAUUUUUCAAUUUUACCUCUCAUUAUUUUAUUUUUGUAUUCAAUUUUAAUCCUUAUUUUUUAUUGCUAUUUUUUGUUAUUUUCUUAAUUUUUUUCAUUUUUAAUUUUAGUCCCUCAUUGUUUGUUUGUUUGUUUCAUUUAGCUUUUAUGCUAGAUUUAGUCAUUGUUGUUUUGAUUGUUAUUUAUUUAGGCUUUUAAUUUUGGAUAAUUAAUGAUUUUGCUUAGUGAUUUUUUAUUGUUUUUUUUAUGAGGUAAUCUCGAUUUUAUGAACCAGGUCAUCAUUUUCGAGGAUUAAUCUGAUUUAACUUUUAUCUUUUCAUUUCUUAAAAAAAAAAAACCAAAAUGAUUAUUUUUUAAUUUCAUCAUUUUAUUUUAGGUUAUCAGGUCUAGAGUGUUUUUUUUUUUUUGCUUUCCUUUAUGUGGUGUUAUUCCGGUGUUAUAUCUUAGGUUAAGUUUUUUUCGAGUUAACCCAGGUUCAUUCAAGUUUUUUUUUUUUUGAAUCUUUUUCAAUUUAGUUUUUCCGAAUUUAAUCUCUUAAUAUUAAGUCAUUGAGUCUUGAAUUUUUGUUUUUCAAUGAAUUUAACAUGUUCUCAAAUCUUGAAUCUCAAAAUUUUCUUUUUUCUAUUUUUUAUAUUUUUUGAAAUUAAUUUUUUUAUCUCAUUAUUUAAAGUUAUGUUAUUAGACAUUCAAUUUUGUAAUAUUUUUUAUUUUUUUAUUGUAAAUUAUCAUGGAUAGUUAGUUAGUCAAAUUAACUUAGGUUAACAAAGUUUUUUUUUAAUAUUUUUUAUUUCACUAUCAUCUCGAGGUCAUUGUUUUUAAAAAAUUAUUUUUUUUAAUCUUGAUCUGGGUCGCAUGGUAGUCCAACUAAUCUGAGUUAAGUUAAAGUUUUUCUCAAUGUUUUUAUAAAUAAUUUGUUUUUUAAUUUUACCAGGCUCACAACAGUGUAGCGUAAAACUAAAAGUUGUAUCAUAAGAAGGUUGAGGACAUUUGUAGGUCGGCUAAUGCUGGCCAUAAAUAGCCAUGUAUGUGAAGCUAUGCAGGUGUGCUAGUGGACACAAAAACACUUAUGCAGAAAAGUGUGCUGAAUGUUCUGGUAGUUCCAAAAAGAAUCACAUAAAUAGUUGUGAAAUUUAAUAUUUUAAAGUUGUUUUAUGGGAAACAUGAUAUUUCAAAAAUAUAUUUGUUAAAUGACUUCACAAUUUACGAUGACGAGAGAAAAAUAAAAUAAAUACUUUAAUUAUACAUCAAAUCUAUCAUCAAAAUAACUCGACGAUGUGAAUCUAAUAAAAUUAAAGAAGUUCACCAAGUAGAUCACACUCAUUGAAGCUCUAAUUAUAAUAUCACUAGUAGCAUUAUAAAGUUCUGGACAAAAUAAAUCAAAUAUAAACAAUAAAGAUAAUCAAUGAUAAUGAUAAUUGAAGUGGGUCAUAUAUAAUAGGCGGAAAACAUGGUGAAAUCUAGGGUUAAGAUUAAAAAAGAUGAUGGAAGGGAAGAUGAAGGUGAAGAUGGAGAACAAUAAUCAGAUUAGCGAGAAGAACAGGUAUCAAAAUUCUGGAUGGAGAAGUUCCAGUUUUCCAGACUGCAACAGUAGAAAUGAUAAGAACACCUGCUAAGAAGGCCAGUAAUCUGUCGUGAAUGAAGAAAUUCAUGGAUGGUAGCAGCGAGAUUUAGCAUGAAGCAUUUAACUUGUUUUCUCUAUUGUAAUUCAUGUCGCUAGAGGUAAUAGAAUUGCACUUGUCUUGCCAGCAUUUAUAGAGAUAUGAAUCUGUUGAAAGGGAAAUUAAAUCGUAGAGUCAACCUUGUUGCGGAUUCCAAAGGGAAACCAUGAUGGUUUAACAGUUAAGCUUUGGUCAUCAAUGCAAUUGGUUCAGGUUGGGGUUUGGAAGAGGUUCGGUGAACUGCGGCGGCCGGAGCCUAAUCUGAUUAGGAGUGGGUACCCUAGGUUGGUUCGGUGGAACAAAUUGAAACUGGAAGUUGAGAAUGUUUCGUUGGUUCUAGACUCGGAUAAAGAGAGUUUUAGCUCUGGAAAACUGGGAUUUCCUCAAGUUUUAUGGAGAAAAAGAAAGGUGGGCCGGCGACUGUUGGUUCUAGUUUGAAAGACGAUUUAAUGGCAUUUGCUCGAGGCGUCAACGCUGUGUGGAGUUGGCUGUUCAGAACAGUAUUUACCUCAUAGGGUUGCAAUGCAAUUCGGAACCGACGAAGAUCUUUCAGGGUUGUGUUGGUCAAUGCUCUAAUUAACAGACCUGAGAUUGCAGAGAGCUUAAAGCUUUUGUUGAGAGCUUGAGCAGAUGAUCACACGAAUAAAAACAGCAAGAUUAAGACAAAAAUUGUUAACCUAGCUAGCCUUCUUCGUGAGAACGAUUUGCUUGAUUUUAUUUUAUUUGAAUUCAUGGCUUCUCUUCUCCUGUUGGCUAUGCUACUAACAUGGCAGGAGGCAUUGCAGCAGGUCCUAGAUGGAUAACUCCCGCCAUUAACAACAGAUGCAGAACAAGGUUAAAAGGAUAAUAGAAAUAAAUAUAUUCAUAAAGUAACCAUGCACUAUGGCAUGAAGUUAUUAUCACAGUGUGCAGACAAAUGCCGUGUGCUGCUGUACCCAACGCAGAGCCUACUAGGCGUUAUCUGUUCUGCCCACCCAAUCCUGACUAGAUAAGCACUUGAGAGUUUUUUUUCUUAUUUUAUGAAGUUGAUUUGAAGUGUUGAUUUGAUAUAAAAAUUUUAAGGAGAGAUAUUUUCCUUCAAAUAUUAAGACCAAUUUGAAAUUUGUAGAUUAACUUACAAAUUUUUAAUAAUUUUUAUUAAAAAUUAUCUUUUAUUUAUUUAUAUAAUAGUUUAAAUAAAAGCAAUAGAAACUAGUAGAAUUCAGCAUUAAUUAAAUUGAUUUAGAUUUAGAUAACUUUAUAAAUAUCAAAUCCAAAUAAAUUAUAACUAAUUUAAAAUCAAUCAAAUAUUAAAAGAAUUUUUUAAUAUUAAAACAAUGAUAUAUUAAAUCAAUCUAAAACUUUACACUUUAAUUUGUAAAACCCGUAACUUGAACCAUGAACUCCACUUGAAAAAUUAAAAAAAAUUAAAUUAUUAUGAUCAUCAAGCACAAACAACAAUAAUAAUUCAGGAUUUUUACUGAAAGUAGAAUCCAUCAUACAUGUUGUUGAUUAUUGAGUUAUAAUCGGUCCGUACAUGAAAAGGAAUGAAUUUAGAGUUAUUAAACUCUGUCGACCGGUGGAUGGACUGAUCUGGGUUUGUUAAAAGACCAACCGGUGCAAUGAUCCGGCAAAACCCAGUCAACCUGUAAGAUUCCACAUCGGGGGGUGAGGGGUGUGUUGCUGGCCUUAUAAGUGGUACUGGUUGCCGACUUGUUAUACGCGUUUUGGGACGUCAGGCUUAGAAUUAGGCUCGCGUCACCAGGAACAAAACCGUGAGGGCGGUAAGGCCUAAAGCGGACAAUAUAUGACAAGUUGGGCCGGGCCGUUACACGACCCGUGACCCAGAUAAAACCCGAAUUUUUUUUUUUAAAAUGUGGUUUUUCUUCUACACUCCCUUUUUUAUUUUUAUUUUAGUUGGUUAUUAACACUUUUUAAAGUUCACUAUAUAAAUACUAGAAAUAUAUAUUUUUUUUUCAAUGUGGGAUUGAAACCCUUUAGAAUAUACUUUAUGUUUCCAAGAAAAAAGUUAUUUUUUUAAUGUAAGAUUUCAAGCCCUUUCAUAUAUAUACUUUAUGAUCAUAAGAAAAAAGUUGUGUUUUUUUAAAGUGAGAUAUAAAACCCUUUAGUACAUAUACUCUAUGUUCCUAAGAAAAAAGUUUUUUCAAUAUGUGAUUUGAAGCCUUUUCGUAUAUAUACUCUAUAUUCACAAGAAAAAUAUUAUGUUUUUUCAAUGCGGGAUAAUAAGUUUUUUGGUUUAAAUAUUUCAACUUAAAAGGAUGACAUAAUAUAUUUUCAAUGUGAGAUUUGAAACUCUUUAAUAUAUAUAUAUAUACACACCUAUGUUUCCAAAAAAAAAAUUAUUUUUUUAAUGUGGGAUUUGAAGUCUUUUCAUAUAUAUAUCAUAUCGUCACAAAAAAAAAUUAUAUGUUUUUUAAUGUAAGCUUUAAAAAUUUUAUUAUACUUUACAAUCUUCCAAAAAAAAAAAAGUUUUGGAUUAAUCCAAUUAACCUGUCUACCUUUGUAGCUGAUUUAAUAACUUUGGGAUGUAAGGAAUAUCUAAAAUAGUCUUAGAACAACUCACAUUUGUUUGCUAUCGAUUUGAAAAGUGAAAGUUGCUCUCUCGUAAUGUCUGCUUUUAAAAUCAAAAGAAUCUAACAUUAAAUGCGGGGUAUUGUUGCCGUUGCAUAUUUUUAUUUUCUGUUUUAUAAAACUAAAAACAGUUUUUUUCAUAAUUUUCAGGUUUUUUCAUUUUGUUUUAAUGACCCCAGUUAACGUGUUUGAGCGUAAUUGUGUUUGAUUUUGAAAAUUUUUUUUACUCAGAAAGUAUGUUAUUUUUAAAAAAAUUAUUUUUAAAAUCAACACAUCAAAAUGAUUUGAAAACAUUAAAAACAUAUUAAUUUAAAAAAAAAAUUAAAUUUUUAAAAAUACUUAUACAGUGCCAAACAUGUUAUCACCACCUUUAUUUUCCCAUAUUUAGAAGUUAUUUAAAAAACAGAAACCAAAGAUACAAAACGGCAACCAUGACCAUGCCAGGGCUAAACAAAAGCUCUACAAGACCAAUCCACGAGAGUUAAACUCCAUUUAAUCAAGAUUUGAAUGUGCUGGGCAAUGAAAGCCCACGAUUAUAUAAAAUAAUAAAAAAAAAAAAAUCAAAGAGUGGAAUGCUUGACUAUAACUGUAAAACCAAGCCUAGUCCAAUAAAUCCAUGUAAAAAUCCGAUAAUUCAGAACCUAGAUUAAUUUGCUCAAUGAUCAUGAUUUAUGACCUAAUCAAUUUAAUUACAUUAAAGCUGAACAUGAUUUAGUCAAGAUUUAUCCUAGUUAAAAGAAAAAAAAAUUCCAUAAAAUCUUAACCUGAGAAUCGAGGUCAUUUUCUUCGAGCAAGCAACGAAUCUCAAACAAAAAAAAAAAAUACACUAGGUGAAAUCAUCAGCCCUCAACCUAGAUAUGUGUUGGAAUUCGUCUUCCCUUAAUAUCCUUCUUCCUUUGAUGAAGUUUUCAUUUGAUUAAGGAUUUGUGUUCUCUGUUCCAAGUUGAAUGUUUUGAGUGACAAUACAUACUAGGUGAAUUGCCAGGUGAUGCCGCCGGUUGUUAUAUAAACACGAUGUAAGCAUUCGGUUGAGUAUAACCGGCGGUACUCGAAGAAGAAGACACGCAGACAAAUUAAACAAAAUGAAAAAAAUAAUACCAGAAGUAUUGAGGUUAAACAAUGCAACCACGUGAUUUAUGUUAGAGAAACGUAAAGUGUUAACUAGCUUGUUUAGAUUUGCAGUAUUCGGUUGUUUUUUUUUAUUUUUAUUUAAUUUAUUUUUAAUAUUAAUUAUUAAUUUUAAAAUAAAAAAAUUAAUUAAAAAAUCAUUUUUUUUACUAAAAAAUAGUGUGGCUUCAAUAACAAACAGUUUGGAAAAGUCUCAAAUACAAAGCCACACGUGCAUAACAAAUCGUAAUUAACUUGAAGGUGUCAAGAUCUGAACUCUGAGCUUUGGGAGGUUAGUAGGAAUGUCGAGGGCAUUUGGAGGCAGAAAUCCCGCCAAAACUGGUGCAAAAUGGGGAUAAAAACACUCGGUUCUUCCAUCUUUCGACAAGCUUGAGGAAUGGUCGGAACCACAUUAGCAAGAUUGAGCAGAAUGGCAGAUUUUUUAGACUCUCCCAAAUGACAUCAAAGAGGGGUGCUGUCAACUUCUUCUCAAGUCUGUUUGCCAAGCCACAAUGAAGAGAAUUGAAAUGGGAGACUCAAGGUUUCUCUAAAUUUCAGAGAAAGUUCAGUUUGGUUAGAAAGACUACCUUCAUUGGAGGAAGUGAAGCAAGCCGUAUGGGAUUGUGAUGGUUCAAAAGCCCCGGUCCUGACGGGUUCACCUUCUCCUUCUAUAAAAAGGAAUGGAAUCUUAUCAGCCCUGACAUCUUUGUGAUGGUCACAGAAUUUUUCAGAACAGGUAAAUUACCAAAGGGGAUCGGCUCGUCCUUCGUGACUUUGAUCCAAAGACCAAGAGGCCGAGCACUUUCUCCCAAUUUCGACCAAUUAGUUUGAUUCAUGGGUUAUAUAAAAUAGUGGCAAAGCUCUUGUCCACUAGGCUCCGAAGCAUUCUACCAGAUGUGAUAAGUGUAAACCAGUCUGCUUUCAUUGCGGGCGUCAGAUUCUAGAUGGGUUCAUGAUAGCAAACGAGGUUGUCCAUAGUAUUCGUAGCAAAAGGACCACGGGUUUUUGCUAAAGGUAGAUUUUCAUAAAGCCUUCGACUCGAUUUUAUGGGAGCAUAUCGAUUCUACCAUGGGUUAUAUGGGUUUUGGAUCUCACUGGAGGAAACUGAUCUUUGAAUGCAUGUCCACUUCUAAAUUGGCCAUCCUGAUUAAUGGCUCACCAAGCAGAGAAUUCAGUAUGGAGAGGGGUCUCAGGCAAGGGGACCCCCUCUCUCCUUUCCUUUUUGACAUAGCAGUUCAGGGGUAACAGUUCUAUUCAACAGGGCAUCAGAUUCAGGUUACUUUAAAGGUUUGCAGACUUCGCAAGGACAUCACAUAACCCAUUUGCAAUAUGCAGAUGACACUCUUAUUUUCCUGCCAAUGAUUAUACCUCUCUACUGCAUGUCAAGAGGAUCCUCCGCUGGUUUGAGAUCAUUUCAGGACUGAAAGUUAAUUUCUAUAAAAGCUCACUUAUAGGAAUUAAUUUGGAUAACGAAUACACUUCAGGUCUGGCUAACACAAUUUUGUCGCAGUGACUCCUUUCCCAGUCAGAUACCUUGGGUUGCCUCUUGGUGCUAACCCAAAUAGGCUCUCCACUUGGAAACCGGUAUUGUCCACAAUCAGAGCAAAGUUAAGCAAAUGGAAAGGGAAGUUUUUGAGCAUGGCCGGAAGGAUAUGUCUUAUUAAAUCUGUCUUAAACUCUCUACCUCUAUACUAUAUGUCGGUCUUUACUAUGCCAAAGGGCAUUGCAAAAGCAAUAUCCUCAAUCACCGUUUUUUCUCUGGAAGGGCUCCUCAAAUUCACAUGGUAUUUGUAAGGUUGCUUGGCAUAAGGUAAUUAAGAGUAAGCCACUUGGAGGUCUCGGGCUUGGUUCUAUUCACAGUAAAAAUCUGGCUCUGAUGUUUAAAUGGCUUUGGAACCUUGACAAAGGAGUGGCAGGAGGUUGGCAAGAACUCAUCUUACGAAAGUACCGGCCACAUUUUACAAAUGGCCUUCCUGUGUUUGCAGGUUCUUUAUCUCCAACUUGGCGUGGCAUGGUAUCUGCAAUUUCCUUAAAUCACAGCAUAGCCGCUCCCAUCCAAUCCAAUGUUGGGUUUAAGGUGGGUGAUGGGAGAAACAUCAGGUUUUGGUCUGAUUCUUGGCUAGGCUAUGCAGCCCCUCUCCAGUUCAUGUUCCCUAGGCUCUACAACCUCUCCCUGCAGCAAUCUUUAAGCGUUGCAGAAGUUCAUAACCCAACAGAUAACUCAAUCAAUCUUUCUUGGAGAAGACCCCUUCGAUCCCGAGAACUCUGCAUGUGUGAAAGCUUGAUAGCAGAAGUGGAACGUGGCCUAGUCUUCUCUGAUGGUGAAGACAACAAGAUUUGGAAACACCAUAGCUCCAACAAUUACACAGUCUCCUCUGGGUGCCAUCUCUUUGACGGUUUAAAUGUUUCAGGACAUCUUCACUCCCCUGCUUUGCUUUGGAAAGGGUUUGCGCCUCCAAAAAUAGAUGUGUUCAUAUGGCUUCUUUUCAAUGGCAGUGUCUGCACAAAGGGUUUCUUAGCUGAGAGGAGAAUCAUCAAUUAUGAGGAAGCUCUUUGUCCUUUCUGCUGCAAGGAGAUUGAGACUAUACAUCAUCUCUUCCAUCUUUGUCCAAAAUCAUGGUCUCUUUGGGGCAGACUAUUUAGUUGGUUUGGGUGUGUAGGUUGUCUGCCAAAAGACCAUAUGAUAACCUUCAGGAAUGGUCCAACAUGGUAAAAAGGAAAAUUUCAGCGUCAGGCAAUUACCCUUCUCUGUAAAGGAUUAUACUGGUCAAUUUGGAUAGCGCGCAACCACAUGAUCUUUGACAACAAAACUCCAGACUGGGAUGUGAUUUUUGACCUCACCUUUCAUCAGUUAGCCUUUUGGUUGAAGUCCUUUGUUAAAAAUUUCAGCUAUAUAAGCUCUGAUCUUUAUAGGAAUCCUGAAUGUAUCAUGAACUGGACUAACUAGUCAGGUCUAUAGAUUCCUUGUUUUCUUAAUGUUUUUUUAAUUCCCCAUGUAAUCUUCCUUAGCAGCCCUCAUCUCUUUAAUGGGGACGUAUUAUUUAUAAUAUUCUCGAUUACUAUAUAUAUAAAAAAAACUUGAAGGUGUCACCCAAUUAAUUAGAUUUUUAGUUUGCUUUCGAGAUAUUAGUAGUUCGAGUUCUGUAAAUCUUAAAAUUACUAGAGGUUUAUUUGGUUGUUACCUUCAGAGCCUGAACCUCUAGAAAUUAGUCGAGUUACACGUAAACUGACUUUUAUUUUUAAUUUAGUCUCUCAUUGUUUUUUUCAUUUAACUUUUAUGCUAGAUUUAGUCAUUGUUGUUUCGAUUGCUAUUUAUUUUAUUUUUAAAUUUUGGAUGAUUAAGGAUUAUGCUUAGUGAUUUUUUAUUAUUUGCCUUUAAUGAUAUAAUCUCGAUCUAAUGAACCGGGUUACUAUUUCGAGGAUUAAUUCGAUUUCACUUUGGUUUUUUAUUUAUUUUUUUAAACAAAAUAAUUACUUUUUAAUUUCAUCAUUUGAUUUUAGGUUAUUAGGUCUAAAUUUUUUUUUUCUCCUUUAUGUGGUGUUAUUCUGGUGUUAUAUCUUAGGUUGAGUGUUUUUCGAGAUAACUCAGGUUUUUUUUAAUUUAGUUUAUUUAGUUUAUUUUAUUUAAUUUUUUAAUAUUAAAUUAUUGAACCUUAAAAUUUAUAUUUUGUUUUGUAUUUUUUUUAUAAGUUUAACAUGAUCUUAAUGUCGUUGUUUAUUUUUUAAAUUAAUUUUUUUAAUCUGGAACUCCCAUCAUGGGUCGCAUGGUAGUCCAACUAAUCUGAGUUAAGUUAAAGUUUUUUCAAAUUUUUUUUUUUUACCAGUCGCACUGUGUAGCGUAAAACUAAAAGUUGUAUCAGAAGAAAUGUGUAGGACAUGUGUAGGUCGGCUAAUGCUGGCCAUAAAUAGCCAUGUCUGUGAAGCUAUGCAGGUGUGCUAGUGGAGACAGAAACACUUAUGCAGAAAAGUGUGACGUAUGUUCCGGUAGUUCCAAAAAGAAUCAGAUAAAUAGUUGAGAAAUUUAAUAUUUUAAAGUUGUUUUAUGGGAAACAUGAUAUUUCAAAAAUAUAUUUGUUAAAUGACUUCACAAUUUACGAUGACGAGAGAAAAAUAAAAUAAAUACUUUAAUUAUACAACAAAUCUAUCAUAAAAAAAACUCGACCAUGUGAAUCAAAUAAAAUUAAAGAAGUUCACCAAGUAGAUCACACUCAUUGAAGCUCUAAUUAUAAUAUCACUAGCAGCAUUAUAAAGUUCUGGACAAAAUAAAUCAAAUAUAAACAAUAAAGAUAAUCAAUGAUAAUGAUAAUUGAAAUGGGUCAUAUAUAAUAGGCGGAAAACAUGGUGAAAUCUAGGGUUAAGAUUAAAAAAGAUGAUGGAAGGGAAGAUGAAGGUGAAGAUGAAGAACAAUAAUCAGAUUAGCGAGAAGAACAGGUAUCAAAAUUCUGGAUGGAGAAGUUCCAGUUUUCCAGACUGCAACAGUAGAAAUGAUAAGAACACCUGCUAAGAAGGCCAGUAAUCUGUCGUGAAUGAAGAAAUUCAUGGAUGGUAGCAGCGAGAUUUAGCAUGAAGCAUUUAACUUGUUUUCUCUAUUGUAAUUCAUGUCGCUAGAGGUAAUAGAAUUGCACUUGUCUUGCCAGCAUUUAUAGAGAUAUGAAUCUGUUGAAAGGGAAAUUAAAUCGUAGAGUCAACCUUGUUGCGGAUUCCAAAGGGAAACCAUGAUGGUUUAACAGUUAAGCUUUGGUCAUCAAUGCAAUUGGUUCAGGUUGGGGUUUGGAAGAGGUUCGGUGAACUGCGGCGGCCGGAGCCUAAUCUGAUUAGGAGUGGGUACCCUAGGUUGGUUCGGUGGAACAAAUUGAAACUGGAAGUUGAGAAUGUUUCGUUGGUUCUAGACUCGGAUAAAGAGAGUUUUAGCUCUGGAAAACUGGGAUUUCCUCAAGUUUUAUGGAGAAAAAGAAAGGUGGGCCGGCGACUGUUGGUUCUAGUUUGAAAGACGAUUUAAUGGCAUUUGCUCGAGGCGUCAACGCUGUGUGGAGUUGGCUGUUCAGAACAGUAUUUACCUCAUAGGGUUGCAAUGCAAUUCGGAACCGACGAAGAUCUUUCAGGGUUGUGUUGGUCAAUGCUCUAAUUAACAGACCUACGAUUGCAUAGAGCUUAAAGCUUUUCUUGAGCAGAUGGUCACACGAAUAAAAACAGCAAGAUUAAGACAAAAAUUGUUCACCUAGCUAGCCUUCUUCGUGAGAACGAUUUGCUUGAUUUUAUUUUAUUUGAAUUCAUGGCUUCUCUUCUCCUGUUGGCAUUGCAGCAGGUUCCUAUAUGGAUAACUCCCGCCAUUGACAACAGAUGCAGAACAAGGUUAAAAGGAUAAAAGAAAUAAAUAUAUUCAUAUAGUAACCAUGCA
rnacentral:lncRNA from 1 species